UUUUUUUUUUUUUUUUUUUUUGGGGUCUGAGUCACAAGCCAUUAUCUCUAACUCCGCAAUAUGACUUUCGACGAACACCUUCAAAGUUACGUUUUAAUCUUGUGGGGGAGAUCAACUUGAACUGGAAGGGAAGAAAUAGUAGCGCUUUCACUCAAUUCAAUUAUUUAUCUACGUAUAAUUGUUCCACCGAAGAUGGAGUCGGCGGUAAUCUGCACAGUCGUAUCAUGUAUGCAUGCAUAUACAUACAUGUGCAGAUAACAUGGUUGGUACUGCUUCUGAGAUGAAUUAUUCCCAGGGAAUGUAGUUCAUAUUCACUCACCCAUCACCAUCGAGACUUAAUUACUACUGUUGGUUGCUUCAGCCAGGGGAAGGAUACCGCUAGUUCAUGAGAAAAAAAUCUACGACAUGAUCAGAAUUGGUGGGAAGAGAAAUGCGUGCUUCUCUACCCUCCCUGUUCUGGUAAUGGCCAAUGGGUGAAAAGGAAAGAAACAAUCUGGAAAAGGCAAGGAUAAUCAGAUUACUCCUGCUUUUUCAGGAGAUCAGGCACCAGAAAAAAAUUGUUGGAAUUCAUGACUAUGGUAUUACUACAGACAGGGCAAAUGUUCAAGUUCCCCUCUGGCGACUGCUAAUAAAGUAUACUUUCCCACUGGCUACGCCUAAAGUCAACGGUGCUGGAAAAGGUGAAGCACACAGGGCAACUAACUACUAGCAAACUUGAAGAAAACUCAAUGAUCUGACAAACACAAAAUAGUUAAAAGGUGCAUUAUUGCUUUCAAUCUUAUUACCGACCGAAAAUCCAGAGCGGAAUGAUAAGGUCCCACCCUGAAAAGCUAAUUUACCCGUCCUUGAGAAAUUUAUUCGACCAUGACAAGUUCAAGAUCUCGGGCACAACUGGCUUGGACCAUAGAGAUGCCGCACCAGUUCCGCAGCUUCAACACCAAAAGCUGACGCUACAUAUUGAGCCAAGAGCUGGAGAGAAUGGCACAACACAAACAUGAGAGGCAUGUGGGCGAUGCUGAUUCUAUUAGUCUCUCUUCAAUGCACAUUUCUUCCAUGUUAUAUUGACUCUAGAAUUCUUCUUUCGACUUGUGCAGCAGGGAACGAGACUGCAAGCCCCGAAGUUCCCCGGGAAUCUGCCAAGCUAUGCCCAUCUUCUGAACCAUGGGAGAGCACGAGAAGCCCCUUUGGCAUGAGAUCCAGAAUGCGUUCCCUCGCUUCUGGCCCAAAUCGAAGGGGCAAUGGGCACAAGUGAAAUUUGUUUCUACCUGGAGUCUACCGACGAAAGAUGUUUUCCAGUUCCAUUUCAUCAGUGUAUGAAUAGAGUCCAACAAUGCAACUGCUGCAUGUUAUACGCAUUCCAUCUUAUGAAUCGACAAAAAUUCUUAUCAAGUAACAGCCCUUAUCCAGCAAGCAAUUGCUGAUGAGUCUUUUUCAUCUUUGUCACAUUGCAAUGGCGAUGAUCAGAACUAGAUAUUUGGGAACAAUUCUGUUUUUUUUUUUGUUCUUUUCUUUUGGGUUACAACCAUGUAUUAGCAGAAGUAUUCUUUUCGUUUUAUCUCCAUAAUAAGAAGUCUCUAGCUUUUUAGUCAAAGCUGUUAAAGAGAUGCCAACACCAAUAUGCGGAAUCUCAUUGCCUUCCUAAGAAUUGCUAAACUAAUUAACAGUUUUGGUAGCUCGACUUGCAUUCCGCACACAGAAAAAUUUACUAAUGCCAUUGCAGGAAGGAUUCAAAAUAUUUCUCGAACAGGCAACAGAUCUACGCGGAUAAAACAAAGUAGAAGGCAAUCACAUAUAUGAUAUAACUCACAACAUCAUUUAGCAUCAUCCAUCCAUAGCUGAGAGAGCACCUCGCUAUCUAGUAUUUGUGCUACUUUUGUCGAAUGAGUACCCGAACCCAUUUCAUCUUCACUGAUGGCAAUGCUGUGAGAAGGCAAGCCACGAAUUACUGGCAAUGGCAAGUUGUAUGAAAUAUUCGUAUUGCCGUCUUCAUGCGAUUGUUCUGGAAUAGCAGAGUGUUGAAGCUGCAAUGCACACUCAAGAUCCCACAACACUUCAACCAUAUUAGGCCUAUUAACUGCACAUUCUUUUAAACACUUCUCAACAGUUUCCCCAUAUCUUCUCUCAAUGAAUGCGAGUAAAGGGUCAACGAUUUUGUGAAGUUCUCCUUUCAUUAGACAAGACAUUCCCCAGCAGCCAGGUUUACUUGCUGCCUGGGAAGUGAGUUAUCAAUGGCUGGCCUUGCACAAAGCACUUCAAGAAGUACAACGACAAAAGAAUACGCAGCAGAGUUAAUUGAAGGCAUCUAAAGUACUUCGAAUCAAGAUAACCAAACCUGCCUUCCACCUCCGUACUGACAUGGCUUUGAUCAAGAGGACCAAAUUGAAGGCAUCUAAUUAGGCCACCUCCGACACGUACAAUAAGUACAUCCAAUUCAACGACUAAUUAGUGCCUUUUAAUUAUAGAUUGAGGCCACAACCUUUUUUUUUUUUGCUAUAUAUAUAUAUAAUAUAUAUAUAGAAAAUUAAAAUUUAGCCGCCAUAUAUAGCAAAUUUAAAAUUUGGCUGUCGACAUGUACUACUCUCAUGACUAGAUUCCGGUAAUAAUUUGCCAAAACUAGUUAAUUGGACUAAAUGUGCUUAAAAAUUAAAACAUUUGCUACUAAAUUUGCUUUCUUCUGAACUUUAGGCACUAAAAUUGUGGAUCUGCAAAUAUUUGGUACCAAAACUUCAAUUUUCUCUUUUAUCUAAGAAAGAAUUGCAAUUUUGAUCCCAAAUAUUUGAAAAUGAGCCCUUUUAGUCUCCAAAGUUCUAAAAAAAAUAAAUGUGAUUCCAAAUGUUUAAAUCUCUAAACACAUUUAAUCUUAUUAACUUUAAACGAUAACAGUUCUCAAAGGAUCGUUACCUUGUCAGUACAUUCUCAUCAUCUUCGUCAUCUUUCCACUCCUCAUUCCAUAUUUUUUCGUACCUGAGCUUUCCGAGAACACCUUCAACGGCAAUCUCAAAAGCAUCUCCAAUACUCUCUGACGGAUCUUUAGGCCUAGCAUACACAAGACUUGGUACAGUCUCGAUCACUUUCUCUCUCAUCUUCCUCACCUCCUCUUUGCUAUACCCCUCCAACACUUUCCUUAUCGACUUCCCUUUCCUCACGUCCUCAUGGUCUAUGUAGACCGAGUAACUCUUGGGUUUCCCCGGCAAGAACCAUUGGUACUGAUCAUAAGCCGUUCUCUUCCAGAAAAACACCGGGAUUGAACCUGCCACCAUGCAAUCAAAAACCCCUCUCCUCGUAUAGCUAUCGCCUUUGGGCUGUAAACAGAAAUGGGAACUCAAGGAAGCCUUCAACACCAUCGACGAACCGUUGUUGCAGGGAGUCAGGGCGCAGUCCACAACCUGGCAAGCCGUCGACUCGUUGUAGCAAUAAUUCAGCAGUAAUGACCUAAAAUCGUCGUCUAAGCCGCCGUGUGAGGCCCCGAUGAACGUGAACAAACUGGUGCGGUUUUGUUUGCGCAGGAAGCUUUGCCAUUGGAGGAUCUGUUUCUUGGAGUGAGGGUGGAAUCCAGUUGGGUAAGGUACGCUGAUAUCCAGGUCGAUCCCGGGGGCUUUCUCCAGGUUGAAGCGCAUGACUUUCUCCAUCUCCGGCAAGUUGAGGAAGCUGGAGCCCCACUCUCUUCCCGGAUCGGAUAACCGGCGGAAAUCCCAUGUGAUGCGGCCCAGCGUGAUGAAAUGGUCCGAGCCCUUGUUCUUCUGCCAGUAGGUUUGGUUCUUGACCCACUUGAGGAACAUAUUGCAAUGCCAAUCACGCUUGGCAGUGUCGUUGAUCCAGAGGUACUUGGCAACCGCCAGUCCAGCGUAGAAGGGCAUGUAGAACGCCGUAGCAGACUCUGGCUCCCGAGUUCUGCACCUGUAGUUUAACAUGCGGUAGUGAAAGAUAAGUUCUAAAGAGAAUUGGUUGGUACGGUACCAGGCCGGAACGAAAUUAUCCGGCAGAAUUCCGGCGAGCUCAACGGCGUCCUUGCCGUAGCCGUCGUUGGGACCAAUGCCGCAUUGCCAUCUCCACGGAUGAAGAUCGUUGCAUUCGGAAAGCACCAAGUCCUUGGUGAACAUAGAAGGGAUGUCGUAGAUGUAGACCCUGCCGGACUGGCAUUCCGGGUCAUCGGGAAUGGAAGGCCUGUUGCUGCGUUGGUUACGGACAUCACUUUCGGUAGGGAAGCGAUGCUGGAUAAAAUGGGGUUGGUUCGUUGCUGGGGGCUUAGGGGAAAGAGAGAGCGGUGCAGAACGAGUGAUGAAAAGAAUGAGAGCUUGGACAGAGAGGAAGGCGGCUAAGAGCCAGAAUCGAGGGUCGGCAGAGAUGUGGGUGUGGAGGAAAUUGAAGGUGGUGGCGUUCUUCAUGGGAAGGUGGUGUUCAGGGGUUUUGGGUUUCUUUAAAUUAUGGAGGUCCGACGAAUAAGAUGAUGAUGAGAUUGGGUUGUUGGAGCAGGCCGGAAGCAUUAUAAGUUUUUUUUGGACGAGGAGGUGGGAAAGAAGGGGAAGUGUUAGCAGCAGGUAUGGGAGCUGAUUUAGUACUGACUGGGGAGUGAUUGAGGGCCGAGGUGGGUUCUGAUAUCGUGAGGGAGGUUUCCACCGACAGAGACAAGGUAUAGUUUUAUUGGUUCCUGCAUUUGACGAUCGAUGCUCUGCUACUUUGUCCAGUACACGUUAGUCGUCUAAAACUAAAAAAAGAUUUUAGGAAAGAUUUUGGGGGUAAAGUGAAAUGAAAUGUUCUCAUUCACCAUUAAUUAUUCACCAGCAAGCAAUGUCCCUCUCCCAACACCCCCCAGUUUAACCUUCUUCAAUCACUCACUGCCCAGUGACUAUGGUACUAGCAGGGUAAGUUUCCUUAUUCGGACUGAUAUUCUUUUAUUAGAAAAUCAAAGGACUGGUGGUUGCCUUUUUGUUCUUUUGCUUGGGCAAUGAAAGGGAGGAAAGGAAACCCAAGUCUUAUCCUUUAGUAUUUAUUUAUUUAUUUUUCUUGUUUUCUCAAAUACUAGUAAAAUUUUUUCUUGUUAGAUCCUAAUAUCUUGUGGUCGGGGUUCGACUCUUUCUGCAGUCUUGUGUAUUCUUGGGGAUGGGAUGCAUAGGCACAGGAAGAUUAGUCUGGCAGAAGGUCGGGGCAUUCCUGUGUUGAAAAAAAAAGAAAAAGAAAAAAGAAAAAGGGAACUUUAAACGAGGGGUUUGUCAUCCAUCUCGGGACUAAGUUUGUCCUUUUAAACCAUCCGGUUGGUACUAUAUUUACCAUCUCCUCUGGUGGUGCCACAGGAGAGGAGUUGUACUUGUUUGCAAUUCUGUAGCUUCCAACGGAUCUGGGGGAAAUAGUAACUACCACUACUGCUACUACAAGAAGUUAAUGCACCACUCGAAAAGAAGACUUGACUUUGCCCGGUGGGCGGCGGCUGUGGGUUGACAAAGAAGAAAAUUCUGGAGCCCCGCUGAUGAAGGCGUGAGUGCGUGGGGUGUUUCCCCUUUGGUCGACUCAUUUCCUGAAAUUAUGGCUUGAAGUUUCCAUUACAGAUUACACUACCAAAAUUCAGGAGGAAUUAAAAAAAAAAUUAUUGUCCUCCGUCUUAAAAAACAUCAUGGACAUGGACGUGGGCUUAAAAAUACGUCCUCCUCUUCUCCGAUAUGCUGUUUGUUCAAAGCAUUGAAUGUUUACCACUUAUCCCCACCACCCUCUUCUUUUCUUUCUUUUUCUGCUUUUGAGGCGCUGUAUCUUUAAAGUGAGUUGGAAAACUCUCAUUAAAAUGCGGACGAAACAUUCAAGUAGAAAUUGUUUUUUGGCUGGAAAUGAUUUGUCGGAACAGAAAACAUAACACCAUAGACCAAAAGAAGAAGAAGAAGAAUAUUAUGUGACGUUCGUUGAAGCACUAAUUUAACCAAGCCUUCUGGAGCUUAAAAAAUAAAAAAAAAUUGACUUUCAAAUGCAAAAACUCGCGUGUCCUUUCUCUUUCAAAUACUGGGUUGUAGCCCUGAUCUGAUGAUGUAGCCCAACAAAAAAGUCGGCUUCAAAUUUCGAAGGCUGGCCAUGGCCCAAAGUUCUCUAACGGGCUUGAGGUAAGUACUCUGGCCAUGGCCCAAAGUAUAAAUCUCCGGGUUACAUUUUUGUGAGCUUUAUUCUUUUCUUCAACACUGAGUUUUACUCGCCGUCCAUUGCCUGCCAAAGUUCUUUUUUUUUUUUUAUAUAAAAUUUUUAGUUGACAUCAAUGCAAAACUGACAUUUUUAUUAACAGAAAAGUUACAAAGCCCUAGCUGAAACAGCUAACUUAUGGGCAUAGUACAUUGUCCUAGUCGUUGAAAUAUAAAUUGAUGAGCGUGUUUCGAUCAUAGGAGAUUAUUUAAAACAUUUUUUUUGAUAUAAUGUAUGUAGAAUAAAAAAAUAUAUUUAUAAUAAAAAAAAUAAGUAAGUAAAUUUGUGUAACUUGCUAUCUUGAAAUAGUGCCACGAUGCAUUCGUGGCCUUUGGACUAUUUUUUGUAGCACCCCCUCAAUUAGGACUGUGCAUCGAAAUCGAAAUUGAAAAGCGGUAAUUCAGAAGUUUGAAAUCGAAAAUUUUCGAAAUUUUGACUGAAAUUUUUCUGACUGAAUUCGAUUUAGAAAUGGCCAAUUCCGAUUUCGAAUUCGAUAUCGAAUUGAAUUCAGAAUUCGAUUAAUUCCGAAUUCACCGAUUUUAUUUUAUUUUAUUAUUUUUUUUGCCUCUCUUGUUCAAAAAGGGAAAACCCUAUUCAAAUUUAAUGCAGUCCGUUUGGAUUCCACAAGUCGACUGUGUCAAAUUCAAGAGGAAAGUAUAAAGGAUGAAGCUGAAUAGCUGAUAACAUAACAAUUUUGCAAUUUCCAAGCAUCCUAGUUGCAAUUUUCAUAACAAUUUUACAGUCGCUAAUAUUUUUCCCCCAAAAAAGUUGUGAUUUAUUUUCCUACUCAUAUUAAGGUUAAGAAAUUCGAAAACAAAAAGAGCGCAAAGAGAUUCCAUUACUGCCCAAAGAAACACGGUGAAAGAUUUAGCAAGAGAAUAUCAAAACAAUCAGUUAAUUACAACAUAAUCAUCACCGGAGAAAGAAAUAUUACUACUUAAGAAGAAAAACAAUGGAAAUGUACCUCUUACUCUCAGUCACAAGUUGAGCUGGAUGUUGAUUCUCUUCAACGAGUACCAGGAGAGAACAACUGGGUUCUAGUCAGUCAAUGGUGAUUGCUGCAAGGUGGAGAAUUGCUUCCUUUGCAAACUUUGCGGAGAUUAGCUAAAUUUUUUGCUUUAGUUCUUGGCUUUCUGCCUUGGACUGUUUUGCUGGGUGGGAGAAAUUGGGGGCAGCGGGUCGUGGACUCGAGGUCAAUGGAGGUUCAGCACAUUUGGUGGCAAAGCACCCCAGUGGAAGGGCCGAAAGAAGGAAGGUGAUGGGAAGGAAGGAAGGAAGAAGCGGCAAAGCUGAGUCGGAGGCGGAGGAACUAGGAAGGAAGGUGAAUGAGACAGCGGAGUCAGGCGGUGGAGGCGGAGGAAGGAAGGUGAGACUGAGGAUUGAGGAAGACAGUGACGAAGAGACAAUGAGGAAGAGGCGGCAGAAGAGUAAGGACUAAGGUGAGUUAAAUUAGGGUUUUUGUUAAAAACUAUUAUAUUAUAUGUAUUUUUAAAAACUAUUAUAUUAUAUAUAAAUAUUAUUAUUCGAAUUCGAUAUCAAAUUUUCGAUUUCGAAUUUUCCAAUUCGAAAUAUGUAAUUCCAAUUUAAAAAAAUUAUAUUUUCGAAUUCGAUCUGAUUUCGAUUAAUUCGAAAUCAGAAUUAUCGAAUUCACUUCCGAAUUAUCGAAAUUUCGAAUUCAAUUCAAAAUCGAAAUUUUUCGACUUUGCACGCCCCUACCCUCAACGGCAAUGUCGAAGGCAUCUUUGGCAUCACUGCCCAAUCCUUCGCUGGGAAAAGCAUACACAAACCUGGGAAUAAACUCUCAAUUAUCUUGUCCCUCAUCCUCUUGAUAUCUUCUUUACUAAAACCCUCCAGCACUCUCCUUACCAUCUCUCACCUCUUUCCGGUCUAUGAACACAGACAAGCUCAGGUUUUGAACCAUCUUUGGAGUUCCACACCACCAGUUCUUGAACUGGCAUUUAGUAGAAAAAGUAAGGAACCUAAUUCAAGGAUUCCAUAAAAUCUAAUGUGGUUCAUGCCUGUAGAAUUGGAAAUGUCCCAGCUCAUUUGCUCGCUAAGUUAGUUUUAAAUUUCGAGAACAGACUUGUAUGUUGGAUAAAAGCUGCUAAAACUGAUAUGCAUUAAUGAAAGUUUUCUUUCCUUAGAAAAAAAAAACUGAUAUGCAUUUUUUAACUUUUGAAAACCAAGAGGACUGCCAACAUGCGGCAUCAUACAUGGAUAUACUAAGAAGAAAAAGUUCUAAUUACAUGGAUAUUGUACUUGUGACUCUCAUGUAUUUCUAAUUAUUGACGUUUCGUAUUUUUACUUUAGAAGUUAUUAUUCUAGUCAAAUUUUAGUAGUUUAUUUGUUAAAAACAUAGAAUAAUUAUUGAAUAUUACUUUUGAAUCUUUGUUUUGGAGUGUUUUAGUAUUGUACUACUGGAAUCUUUGAAGUAAUAACGGCGUUAUUCAAUGUGUAUCCACCGCAUUGCCACCUUCGGACAAAGAGAAAGGAAAAAGGGAACCACCCACAGCUUUAAAAAGUAAAGAUAAAUGAAAGCAUUGAUCAUAAAAUCAAAGGGAUCCUUAUUGGAGUUGUCCAACUUUGAGACCUCAAACUUUAGACGUCUUAGAUUCAAAUAUCCCUUCUUUUUUUCAUUCAGCGACCGACAGAAUGCUGCUAAUUGGGUAACUCCCUCCUUAAUAACUCUAACAAAAAAUCAUUCCACGAGUCAAUCGGUCCAGGCAAACACCAAUGCACACAAUCUCUGGGCAACUCCAAGUUCUGACCAGCCAAAUGGCCAUACACGCUGGGGUGACCAUCCGGUCUCAGCAGCAUAGCUUUCGUUGCAUCAAAUAACCUAAACCUCAAUCCUGGUUUCCUUCUUCCUUCUUCCUGCGCAAUUCUAAGUUCCUCUAAUUCGAUCUUGUACAACUCUAAAUUAUAUCCCUCUAAGACGGCUUCAUUUCUCUUGUAAGGCCUGGUCCUAGGACAGUUUCCACCGCUAUCCCAAGUUCCAUUUUCAAAGUGUGAGGGGGCAAAUGUCCUCAGAAAUAUUACACUCUUGAAAUUUUGCAGGCUAUUAAUGGCUCUAAAUGCUGUUCUCAAAGCCCUUUGAUAGCUAAAGUAUGCUGUCAAGCGAGUGACAUUCUCCUGUGGACAAUAUUGGCAGCCGACCAAAUUGCCCUUUUCGUAGAACAUGGUUGGACGGAAGAACCAGUGGCCAGCGGAGAUGAUAAAGUAGUCAUAUUCUUCAAUUUUGGUCGUCCAAUUUUCAUCGAACUCGUCAAGAUAUAGACUAAAAGAGCGGGUCCUGUCCUUGGAACCAGUUCUCUCAACUGACCUUACCAAGUAAGGAGCCCAAAAGAUUGACAUUCUAAAAUUGUAUCCUUGGUACUCCCAGUGCCUGUUCUCAUCAGUUGAAUUUGAAAUUUCUCGAGGAUAAAGCACCUGAAAAUAACGUGAAAAGAUUUAAUUUCUCCAUCUGAUCAUAGGGAGAGAAGUUUAAUUUACACAAAAUCAAAUGGGACAACAAUAAGUUUCUCUCCCGACCCCCCCCCCCCAACCACACACGCACACACACACAACAAAAAAAGGGUUUCCUUUUUGGGGUGUGUCUGUGAAACGCACUACAUUUUUUUACUUGUAGUGAACUAUGAUAGCAAUGAUUUCUUUGAUUUAUGAAAUUAGGUAGCACUUUAGGUUCAAUGCUAAUUAGGAUUUCAGUACUAGCUAAUACGUGUUAUAUUAUGCCAAAGGUGACAUUGAUGCAUUUAAUCUCAGUCGUAGAAGAAUUCAGGGAAACCAGCAACAACCGAUCAAAUAUUUUGCCUGCUGUCCAUCAAUCAUCGUAAAGCCUCACAAACUUUUCUUUUAAUUAUUAUUUUUAUUUCCAGAGAUCCUAUCUUCUGAUAUUGACGAAAACAAGAUGUAACAAUGAGGUGAUACUGGUGAUCUUGGACAAUAAAUUAGAUCUCGGACAAUGCGUUGAAUUAGAAAAUUUUUUUAGAGGUGAUAGUUAACUUACACUGGACAAGAGACACAUCAAUGACUGCAGGUGAUUUCUUGCCACGGAGUCUCCGACAAAGGCAAUAGACUUUCCCCUGACGAGUUGCAAGAAUUGGCGUGGAUCGAAUAUGGGCAGUUCGCAGCCGUCUGGUUUCCACCUCCAUUUCAAGAACUCUAUGUCAGGCCUUCCAUAUUUCAUGCAAUUCUGAUGUUCUUGAAUUCCAUAACAAGAGUUGGUAUAGUACGGUGCCUCAGGGUUCGGAACCCACUCCCCUGAGAAUAAGUCACAGUAUUCUUCUUCUUGUGAUCCCCGUGCUUCUAUUUCUGCUGAUUUUGUAACCUCAACUUCAUCCUCUCCCUUUAGUCUUGGUGGCUCCUCCUCGUCCGCUUUUGUUACUUUUUGGUCCUCUACUUCUGUUUCUCUGUGGUUACAGGGCUCAGAACCAUCAUGCUCAUUACGACAUGCCUCCAAAAGGGCACCCGAAGGAGCAGUUGGCUUUACUGUUUCCUCCGCAGAAUCAAACUCAGAAGGAAGUUUGGAUGCUCUCUUCGUAUGGAAUUGUGUUGAAGGGGAAUAAAUGGAGAUAACUGAUAACAGAAUAGUUAGGGCUACAACCGAGGCUAUCUUUGGUAUUUUUCUUCUAGUUUGAUGUUUCCUUAGUGAAUGCUCAAUGGCUCGGAACUUCAUUUUUAAGGAAAACUAAUUAAGGCAGAGAAAGAGAGAAUGAGGGAGAAGAAGCCACCAAGGAAUUACACACAGCAGUAGAUCAGAUUCAGAAAGAACUUGUAGCCAACAUUCCACUCGAGUUUUUAAUAACGGCACGUAUUGGAAGUUCCUCCACAAAACCAAAUACAAAUAAUAAAACACGUAUUAGCAUGUGAGAGUUGGGGGUUUUUCUUACGCAGAGCAUGUGAGACAUAAGGAGCGGAAAACUGCAAAGCAGUGCAAUUCAUAGUUAUUUUCUCUGAUUACACCCAGAAACAACAGUACAAGAAAUAAUUUUAGUAAUGGAAGUUCUGCAAUGCCUCUGGCACAGUUGCGUAUAGAUUAAUACUGUACUUUAAAGUUGAAACUAGGAAAUGAUAAAGAAUGCCUCGUGUGCAAUCAAUUCAGAUCUGAAUAAAAACUGGAAAAUUGUGGACUAUGGACUGUGAGCCAUUAUGCUUUCUUGGUAUAUGACAGUUGAUGUUACUGCAACUGAAAGUAUCACCAGCUUAACUCAAGCAUCAAUGUAUACAAAGUUAAGAACAUGAUUGCUACAACUUCAACGACUCCUCUUUUUUUUCCUAACUUUUUUUUUUUAACUAACAUAUUGUACAACUCGGUAAACAAGCUUGGGCAUCUUUUCAAUGCUGAAACAUGAUAAAAGGGUUAGCUAAAUGACCUAUUUGUUAGUGGCGAAUUUAAUGGUUAGAUUUGAAAAUUCCGAUUAUCAGCUCCAUGGUGAGAAUAUAACCGUAGCAGGUUAGUAUAAGAGUCUUUAGAUGUUACUUAAUGGUUAGUAACAAAGAGUCAUGCAAGAUGAGCAAUGAUUAAUGGAAGUCUUUAGAUGUUUCUUUCAAUUAUGAACAGAAUCGAUGCACAUGCGCAUGCACAUAAUUAUAGUAGUUUAGUUAUUUAAAAUAUGCAAUAAUUAUUUAGUAGUUUCUUAAUUACUAAGUCUUUGUUAUAGGGUAUUUUAGUGUUGUAUUAAUGUGGUGAGAAGAGUGAGACAGAAAAAAAUUAUUAUGAAAUGCUAGUAAGAGUGUCCAUUGUUUAUAAAGGUAAUUUUGCUUUUUAUAUGUGCCAAAUAUGCUUUCAUUAUGCACUUUUUAUAUGCUAGCAGUCUUGUAAAAUUAAAUUUCCGCAAAACUAGGCAAUAAGCACUAAUUGUCAUCAAUUACUAAACGACUUCCAAAAUAUCACAAAACAAUAUGUCCUUCAAGUAUAGCCAGGGUCCAUAAUGUUUUCUAUAGGUGUUUUUGAAAAAUUCUACCGUAACUUUUGGUGCGUUGCAGUUUACUGCUAAAAAUGCACUCAAGAUCAUCAUCCAACCCCCACUUUCUUUGUCAACUUUGUGAAAUCAAAGUUUUAGUACUUAGUGUACCACUCAUAUCAACACUAACAACAAAAUCGUUUGACAUGAAUAUUUCUUCCCUCUGUUUUACUGUACUUUUUUCCCCAGCUAGCUUAAGUAUCGAAUGUAUAUUCAACACUUCAAUCAAGAGGGAAUGCUCUGAAAAGAUAAGGAAAUAAAAAGAAAAAAGAAAAUGGCACUUGGGGCAUUUUAAGUACCUAUUUUAAUUGGCUAACCAAGAAUUUUAAAAAAUAAAUAAAUAAAGGCUUUCGUAUCCUUGGUCCCUAAAAAGGAAGCUUCAGCCAAAUGUGGUCAAAACUUUUUCCAUUAUUCUUGGAUUUCCUUUUUGAACAAAGGACGUAUUGAUCACUUAACUCUAGAUCAUGACCAAUGACAUCGGCAGUUUCACGGUUAUUGUGGAAAAAGGUAGUUACAGAAAAUGCAAAACCUAGCUGCUGAACAUAUUGGUUUACUCGACAGAGGAGGGGGAAAAAGAAAAAGAAAAAUGCUCUAGAAAACGUCUAGAGAAAGGGAGGGAGAAGUAAACACUCUACUAUUAACGACCGCAAAAGUUACAUCCAUUUGUCUUAGUGGAAUUAUCUCUUUGGUACUGCCAUGGCUGGCUGGCCAAAUGUGGCAACUCUUUCUGUAAAAUGAAUUGCAGAAGGUAUAGGCAAAUAUAAACUCAUCCAAAACCUAAGUUUAAACUAAAUUUUGUUAGCUUGAAUUUGUAAGGGACACAAAAUUAACAUUUUAAAAAUAAAUGACUAAAAAAUUCAUUUAACGAAAUAUAAGAUACGUUUUAAAUGAUUUUUCCCACAAAAUAACACAAUAGUUUAGCAAGUGUAUAUGGUUAGUCAACGAUUGGGAUAGGUCUAAUGGUUAGAGGAAGGCUUUAGCAUUCUCUCUACUGUUAGAUUCAGAAUUCAAAUUAUAUAUUUGAUAGUUGGGGACCCAAUAGCAAGAGUAGAGCUCUUAGAGUUCAUUUCGCUGAUAGAUUUAGGAUUCAAAUCAUGCACCUGAUGACUAGAGUGGAAAGGAUAUAAGGAGAGGUGGUAGAACUCAGAUGUUAAAAUUUCUAUUUAAAUAUACUUUUGAGUGGAAAGUAUGUGAAAAGAAAGAGAAGAAUUCAGGUAUUGAAACACCCAAUAUUAUUUCUAAGGACUGUGAACAAGCCUAACAAUCAAGAGAUCCACUGGUCAGAGCUAAUGAUUAAUCAUGAACAUGAUACAAACAUAUAUAUAUAUAUAUAUAUAUAUAUAUAUAUAUAUAUAUAUAUUUUGGCUGCUCAGGAUGUUACAAACAUAGUUACCAAGUACCAACUGAUCACUUGAACUACUAAAUAAACGUUAAACUUUAAAAGUUUAAUUGAGAUAUCUAUUGACGUUUAAAACUUUAAUGAUACGCGUUUAGUCUAACGGGUGUUUUAAAAGGUUGACAAUAUUAAUUUUUCUUUUUAUCAAAAUGAGGAGGCGAGAGUGUUUAUGGUGAUGCCAUAAUCUUCCUAGGCACCAAACAAAAUUGAAAUUCAGUGCCAAAACUAACACAGAUCAAUGCCCAUAAUUUGACAAAACUCUUGCAUUCUGCUAUUUGGCUCAUCACUGAAAAUUUUGACUUUUUGCUUCCAUAAAAUGUUAUCCUUUUUGUUGCAAAAAUUUGGUAUAGUUUCCUCUGAUGAAUGUUGAGAUUGUCUAAUCUUCUCAUUAUACAUGGGAAAUUGUGUUAAUGGUUCUUUUGAUUUGCAGAACAACUAAAGCAAAAAUUAUUAUUACUAUGUUAUUGACCGUCGUCUCUCCUAUUAUCUUCUAUCAUGUUCUUUGAAAGUUAGAUUUUUUUUUUUUUUGAGCUUUAAUUUAUCUGCUUAUUCAUUUAUUUGUCGAUUGUCAAUAUCAACACUAUUCUUACUCUAAUCUAUACGAAGGGAAGGGAGGGUCCAACUAAACCAAAAAAAAUACUAGCGGAACCAAAGAUUGAGAGUUGAGAAGGCAAAGACUAUGAAAGAUGUACGUACACUCGAGUCGAGGGGAUGCCAUUGUGUCUUUCUGAAGUACUUGGGAGGACAAGUUCUAAUUUUUUCAAGAAUAUAACUGAAAAGUCUUAAUACUUUAAGGGGAUAUAAAGUAAUUUCCAAAAUCGCUGCCCCUAUGGAUCCGCCAAUGUAAAGAGUGGAGGGCUAGAUUUCACUUUUCAGAGCGAGAGAAACUCACCUCUAAACCAGUACUAGACAGACACCCUCUGAAUUCUUCUGCUACGGGUGAAAAGCUUCAAUUCGAAUGCUCCAAGUCCACGUUUUUCAAUUUAAAAUCACAAAGAUAGCGUCUGCACGUUUUUCCAGUAAGCACUACCAAAAAUCACAGAGGAACUUAUAGAACUGAUAUCUGAUGAGAGCAAGAUAAAUCACGCAUAAACUUCACUUAUCAGUAGGAAUGCCGGUAUCAAAUAGCCUUCCUCGAGGUGGGAUAGGGAACUGAUCCAGCAAGUCUUUGAGGAGGAGGAAGGGAGGAACAUACUGAGAAGCCCGCUUGGGGUACAACCUCUGAAGGAUAGAAUAUAUUGGAAUUUCUCUCCUACAGGUAUGUACACAGUUAAGUCAGGGUAUAGAUUGGCUAAGAAAAGGAGAAGGAGGGGGUGGCAGGCAGAUGCUGGAUCUAGUUGUUCGAGGGUGGGAACUAACCCGAGCUGGACUUUUCUGUGGGGCUUGAAUAUGAAACAUAAGUUGAAGCAUUUCAUUUGGAAAUGCUUGCAUGGGGUGCUGCCAGUGAAUGCUGUGGUCAGAGAGAGGUGCACGAAAGGUGAUCCUAUGUGUAUAAGCUGUGGGGAGAGCACGGAAACUAUUGAACAUUGCUUGUUUCUAUGUCAUCAAGCCAAAGCUAUAUGGAAGAUUGCGCCUCUGAGUUGGGAUGGUUUAGAGAUGUUUUCAAACAGUUUCUGGCAUUGGUGGGAGGAAUUAAAGGGGCGGCAAAGGAGGGAAAUGGGAGGGAGCGUAUUAUCUUGACUGUCAACUUGCUGUGGCAAAUUUGGAAGUCCAGGAAUGCUAGGCAGUUUGAUGAGAAUCGUGGAGACCCAAGGAUGGUAGUAGAGAAAGGAUUAAGGGAGUGGAGGGAGCAUCAGGAAACUCAGGAAGGAGUGAGGGGAACUGGUGAAGGUCAGGCGAGGAAAGAUGAAGCAGUGUUAGGUUGGAGGAGGCCAAGGGCUGGUUGGGUCAAGGUGAAUUCAGAUGCAGCGUUACACCUUGAAUCUGAUAAGGCAGGCUGGGGGAUGGUAGCAAGGGAUUGGCUAGGAGGAUUGCUGGGGGCUUGGGCUGUUCCUAAUUUUAGCUGUGCCAGUCCAAAGGUGGAAGAAGCAAAAGCGUUAAGGGAGGCUAUGGUAAUUGCCCAUCAGCAAGGUUGGCGGAGGGUUGAGUUUGAAGUGGAUUGUAGUCAGGUAGUCAAAGCAGUGUGCAGUGAGGAGGAGGACGUAGCUAAGCUAUAGCAACAAUUGCACAUAAUGUCAGGAUACUUGGGUCAAAUUUUGAUGAAUGUUGUUUCACCCUUACAAACAGGGUGAACAACUUUGUUAGUCACAAGAUAGCUAAAGUAGCUAUUACUUUGAAGCAAAAUACUGAAUGGAAGGAAAACUUCCUGGUUUGGCUGCUUGAACAAACUCGAGCAGAUUGUACGGGCAGUUGCCCACCUAUACUGUAAUGUUUCCUUAUUAAUUCAAUGUUGCAGAUUGGAAAAAAAAAAAAAGCCUUCCUCGAGCUAUAAUUGCCUGCAAUGUCAUCCAGAAGAAACUUUAAGUUACUACUAUUAACUAAGAGCAAGUUAGCAACCUCAUAAAUGCAGGAGAAUGUAAAUUUAGAGAUAAAAUCUUUUUUGCAAACGACAUUGUUGAAAAAAUAAGCAAUUCAUAAUUAAUGUAUUGACAACCUCUCUCUCCCAGUUCGCGGAACUUGUUUUGAAGAAAAGCAGAGCAGAUUGCAGGACUGAUCCAGCACUCAGUCCAAUCCAAAGGCCAAUUCCUUUAAACUGGAGGACAAAACUGGAGCUUCAAUACUAACUAAAUAUAGGAUAAAUGUACUUCUACAAUGCGGAAAAAUACCAUAUCGAAAUCACUGCAGCUUCGAAUGGGACAUUUGACAGAAGUCCAGAAGGUAAAGCGAGUACUUCAAACUUCCACCAUUCAAGACUGUAAUCAUCAUGAUAGUAUUAUGAUCCAUAAAAGAUGAUGUAAAAUCAGGAACAAUUUCUGCUCCUGGGAAGAAGGAUCCAGAGAGUUACCAUACCGUGACCGCUGAAGGGAUAGCAACUUUGAUGAACUCUCCCAUGCUUAAGAAAGCAUCUGUUGAGAAAGAAAUACGAGUCUUUUCACAGGCUGCAGAAUACUUCACAUAUAAAACAAGCAAUAUGACAUUAAACCAAUAGGAUAACCCAAGUGCCAAGGCAGCUCCAGUAUUCCCCAGUUUCAAGUAGAACACGAAAGCCCAACAAACAGGCAAAUGGAAACAUAGAGCUGCAACUGAACUUAAGACCAGUGGGAGGAUCAAAUUCUGAGUCUGCAAGUAGCGAAUCAGCGCUUGGAGAACAGCAUAAGGAAAUAAUGCAGGAAUGAGCCAAAAUGCAUAUCCGCCAGCUUCGGCUGAAAUCAAAUGGUUUUGACCAGUGAAGAUCAGUAGUUUAUCCAAUAAGAGCCACAGUAGUGAUAUUGGUAUGCAGACCAUGAUUAGGGAUAUGAUGGCACCAUAAGUAUUCAUCCCUAGCUUGUGGUAAAGCCCUGCUCCACAAGCUUGGCCACAGAGAGAUUCCAAUGCACUAGCCAUUCCAAACUGCGUGGAAAUCAAUCGACUGUUGGAUUAGCUCUGAUACGAUUUGCGCAAAAAUCACAAUUUCAUAAUGUAGAGUUGUGCAAUAAUUUAAUUGUGACAAUUGCAUGGUUGCUUCUAAUCUCAUGUGAAAGAUUGCGAAUUAUAAGUAAAUCAUAGACAAGGGAACCACAAUUUAGCUACAUCAAUGGUGGUGCAAAGGGUACCUGCUUAAAAUCAGUUUACGUAAAGCUGUUAAUCAUCUCAUCAGAUUUAGCAUUACAACAGAACUACCAAAUUGAGCUUAUAAUCUACUCGCCUACUGGACAAAUGCACUCCAUUCUCUACAACGAGCUAUUUAGCAACUGAUGGAUGACCGCUGCUACGCAUUAUAAUUCAAAUUCAAAACAAGCCUUUACGAGUAAUAUCUUUAUGAAAAACAUCAGAAAAAACUAACAAACGACGCUGCAUUAAUGCAGGAUUACUUUAAAAGAUUACUAAUGUUGCUACAGAAACCGAUAGCCCUGGAAGAUAUCAUAAGGAAAGAAUAUAUUACAAGGAGAGUGAAGCCGGUGACAUCGGUAAGAUAAGUAGCAAUUGAUGUGCCAGAGAAGGAGUCUUCACCAAAAUGUCCAGCCAUGAUCAUCGAUGCAAUCCGGGAGAAGUGCUGUGAAGCUGUCACCACCACCACCAAGGGCAAUGCUAUGCUGCUAAACAUCUUCAAUUCUUGCACAAAUAAAUCCCGUCUUGGAACCACCCUUUUCCUCUGUACCAUAUCUCCUGGCAGCGGUUCUUCCAUUCUACAAUGUAUUCUUGCACUUGCAGUGACUUUUUUCAAUCGACAAGAAUAACAAGAGCUGGCCUGUCAAAGAGACAGAGUAUGGCUUUCACUUGUACAUUUACUUAUACGUUGAACUAACACAGUGGAUUCCGAAGAAGUUUAUGAGUUAUGAUAGGUUGCCGGGCUAUUGAACUUGAACCACACUCUGCUGUCAGAACACGGGGAAACAACGAAAGAAAUUGUACAACUAGUUAGCUCCCCAGCGCUAGUUAGCUAACGUGCAAGUGCCGGACUGGGAGCCAACCCUCGCAGUUGACUUUGAAUAGCGUCGACAAUUAAUGUUGUGAGAUUAAAAAAAAAAAACAAAGGUAAAUAAAAUACUAGGAUAAUUUAUGAAACCCCCCUUGGGCGUCCUUUUGACAAUUUCAAGGAGCUCCUUUCAGGUUUUUAUAAUUACACUUAACACUCUUCAUUAAAUAAAAUGACUAAAGUACUAACAAUUAUAUACCUGACUGGAAAGUAAAACAAAGACUAAAGCCAACGGAACAAUUUAAAGCAACUCCCUCUCCUUUCUUUUGGUUCUUUGCCUCCAAUUUUUCCCCACCAAAGUUCACCCCCUAACUUUCCUCGUCCUUUCUAUCCCUUUAUUUCUUAUUCAUUAAGCACCUCUACCUUAUUUUUCGCCAUGCACCUAAUCCUAGAAUAUACUAAAAUUUGUGAUUUAUUUCUAUACAUACUCAAUUUCACAUGUAGUGCGAUUGAUUUAUGGUUUAUAGUAUUUUAUUGACAGAUUCUUUAAUUAAUUGGUGGGGCAUAGAUAAUAAGCAAAAAGAAAAGAAAACUAGAAUGGAAAUCCAGGCAGGAAAAGAAUGCUAGGGUGAAGAAAGGGCAAGAGGUUAGUCAUGAAUUCAUGAAGAUUUUUGCUGCAUGAGAUGAGAAGUAAGAGGAUUAUCAAUCAAGCCUUGCAGGUUGGAUAGUUAUAGGAAGCAACAAGUAAUCAUUAUUAGGGACAAGUGGACCAGGGAGAGAAGCAGUAGUGGCUUAUUCACAAGUUUCCGUGUUCAAGAAAGGAGUCCUUUGAGUUUUCCGAGGAAGGAAAACUUGGAAAGAGGCCAAUUUGAUGGUUGUGGCGCCAGUGAUGCUGAUGGAGAGGUACUGUAGAAUAGACUUGAUGAUCUAAUGAUUUCGUUGCAGUUUUGGGAAGCAAAAGAGGUGGUGAAUUUGUUGGGGAAAUAUAUGACUAUGACUGGAAAAAUAAUUAACACAAGGGAUUUUUUAGGACAUUGAUAAUUCUUUCUUAUGUUUUGUUGUUACUUAAAUAGUGAAAGCAAGGGGGUAAUUGUAAUUAUGAAAAUCUUAGGGGAGCUCCUUGAAAUUAUCGGAAAUCUCAAUGGAAAUUUCUGAUAUCAUCCUAAAACACUGCUAGCAUAGUACCAUACGAUACACAAUAAUAUGGGUUAGACAAUUUGGCAAAGUAAGCGUUAUGUGCGCGUUUUCGCUUCGAUUCUCUUUUCUCUCGUUUCCUUCAGCAAGAAAAUUUUUCCCUCUACCAUCGCACCGCGUUUAGGAGAAAUGUUGAUUAAUCAAAUUGGCAGCGUCUGCCGGCGAGAAACGAAAAAAUUUUGCACUGUUCAGAUUGUGUGUUGACACAAGUUUAUGAAUUCAGUUAGCAUAGGCAAAGGUAUAUGGAUGCUAUAAAAUUUUAGAUUUAGUGCUCCACGUGGCUUAAAUGAGCAGUGUGAAACCCAAAAUCGCAAGUAUAAUAAAAGAAAGAAACCAUCAUAUCCUUUGAUCCAAAGCCUUUGACCUCUGACCCAAAGAAAGUUACUACUGUCCCAAAACUAAUUAGCAUAUGUAUACACGAGAUAGUACAUUGAGAGGGAAACUGCAAAAUUCAAGGAGGGCUAGAAGGAAUCAAGGAGGAGAAGCCAACUCUUUUCAUUGAAUUAUAUACUUAAGCGCGUACGUAGGUAAAAUGAUGAUUAAUUAAGUUCGACAGAUGUAUUUGUUCAUUGCGUAGGCUAAGGGAUUGAAGGGUGUGAUGCGCGUGUCAAAUAAGAAGGGCAGGAAAUUUGACAAAAGGAGGGGAAAAGAUUUAAUUCAGUUAUAUGAAUUGUCUUGAGUUGCCAUGGAUAGCAAAUUUGUCUAAGGAAUAAAGCUUAAAAUUUUACAUACUUCUUAACGGUGAAAAACAAUUCAAAUGGUAAAAAAUAAUGAGAAAACAUCCUAAAAUGCAUGAUUUUAUGUUUUAUUUGGUGAUUUCUUUUACAUAAUAAUUCCUUGUUUUACAAGUCUAAAAAGUUAUAUAAACAGGGCAUUAGUUGAAAUACAUUCUCAAGAGAAUCUACGGCCAAGAGAUCGAGUCUAAUAGAAAUCUGGUGUUUCUUUUAUUAUUUGAAGUAUUAAUAAUAUCGUGUAUUAUUUUUAUUUCUUCUCUUGUACAUGUGUUUUGAAUAAUUAAUCUAUCCCUUGAAUUUAUAACCCUACACGUAAUUUAUUAUUGAAACCUUAAAUUUAUUAGAUUCUACAUGGGGUACAUAUGAUACCGCGAAAUGUUGCACACGAACGAUUUUCAAAUUCAUGAAAUUAGUCCUGUGGUCAUUUUGAUUGUUUCUGUGACUUAAUCAUGCCGGGCAAUUUUUUUUUUUUUUUUUUUGUGCUGACGGAGUGGGUGUCCGGAUCAAUCCUUACGGGCCCGACUAAUUCCACUCCGGUCCAGGAGAAGAGGCCCCAUCCACCCGAACACGAUAAUCACAGGACUCGAACCCUUGCGAGCAUUGGAUACCAGCUCUUAAGGAGAUUUGCUGAGACCAACCGAGUUGCCCAUGAGGAGCAGACAAUUUGAUAGGAGACAAGGGUUGAACCCCUGACCUCCCACCCCACCACGAGAGGUGGUUCAUGGCGGGCAAUUGCCUCAGUGUAAAUCCACCAUUGUUCAUCUGCGCACCGCCCCCCCCCCCCUUGACAAACCCAAGGCAUCACUAUUGCCGCCGCCGCCGCAUACACACACCAUAGCUCGGUCUAGGAGAACUACCAUCUCUUCAGCCUCCACGCCGUGCAUGACUUCGACUUCGAGCAAUAUUUGUGAAAUAUAAAUGUGUCAUAUUAGUAAGCUUUUAUAUAUCUAAUGCUAUUUAGAAUCUUUUAUUACAGUGUCUACAUAGCAUGUCUUUCAUCUCUGUAAAAAACAAGAAAGAAAAACUAGACAUUGUUUGAGUCUUGAAAAUUAAUCUAAUCUAACCUAAUCUAAUUGAUCGUUAAUUUAAUAUUCAAAAAAGAAUCAAAUAAUACCUACGUACAACUCGCACUAACAAUGUCCAUCAAAUUGGUGUACAAAUAUUGCACAUGUGACGUGCCCAACUAAUUAGAUGAAUUGUUCAAAAUUCUUGCUGAAAAAUUCUUGUUGGGACAACCUUCACAAGUCCUCAAGAUUUUAUAUGUGUGGAUCAAUUUCGAUAUACUUGGUCAAAUGGGUUAUAAUAACCACAUUAAAACGUUUAUUAAUCUUAAAGAAUACAGUGGUUAGGAGAGACCACAAGAGGAGGUAAAGAUGCGCUGGAUUGUAGCACCUAACCAUCAUAUUUAUGCUUUAUUAAGUUAAGAUAAGAAGACAAAUAUAUUAUUAUUAUUCUCACGACGCAAAGUUGUCUUGCAUAAUUAGCCAAAGAAAGAGGUGAUUAUAAUAGUGAGGUGCGAAAAUGACAAGGCGCUUAAAGGUAAUCAUUGAUUGUGGAUGUCCUGUAUACUCGCCAUCCAUUGUCUGCCACAGUACUGUUCUGAUCGUUGAAAUACAAAUAGAUAUUUCAGGCUACGCUUUCUAUCAUUUUCCAUUCGCUGUACCACUACCAUCCUCUUGUUCUAAACUCUUUUCCGCCUUAGUCUUGAUCCUAAAGGAUAGAAUACAGCAGACCAAGGAGACAGGGCAAACGACAGUAGAAUGACGAUAGAAAUAAUUUCCUACACAGAAAAAACAAAAAUAUAAAGAUCAAAAAGUUGAACAAAUCAAGACGGCACUCCGGUUGGUGACUGUUGAAGACCGGCGGAGUUGAGCGUCGUCUUUUUACGUUUCAUCUCUGAUCCUCUGCGCAUCAAUGAAUGUCUACUGAACUGAAAGACGUUUCUAGCAAACCAUCCCACCAAGUCCUUGGUAACAGAAAGGAAAAUCCAAUUCUCCCGUCGAAACCAAAAACUGAUAAUGAAAUCUUUGUCAAAUUCCCUGCGCUUCAUUCAUUGUCCCUAAUAUACUGUUCCGCCAUGACGCUCGGUUUUUUGGACUAUUUUUUGUAGAACUCCCUCAACAGUUAUGUCGAAGGCAUCUUUGGCAUCAUUCCCCAGCCCUUCGCUAGGAAAAGCAUACACAAGCCUGGGAAUAAGCUCAAUUACCUUGUCCCUCAUCCUCUUGAUAUCUUCCUUACUAAUACCCUCCAACACUCUUCUUACUGAAGUCCCAUUUCUGACCUCUUUCCGGUCUAUGAACACCGAAUAGCUCUCCGGCUCGCCCGACAAGAACAUCUCGUGCUGUCCCCGGAAACUGCCUUCCCAGAAAAACACCGGUAUCGAACCGGACAACAUGCAGUCGAACGUGGACUUCCUGGUAUCCGUGUCACCCCUCGGCUGCAAGCAGAAGUCCGAGUGCAACAACGCUUCAAGAAUCGCAGAAGAGCCAUCGGAGCACGGGGUCUUGUCACAGUCCACGAGGUUGCACGCGUCCGCCUCGUUGCGACAAUGAUCCAAUAGCAGAGUCCUAAAGUCGUUCUUGACCUUUUGACGCUUUGCUCCUACAAACGUGAAUAGGCUCGUCCGGUUACGACUCCCCGCGAAUUGCUGCCAUUGCUCAAUCUCAGGAGCGGACCUGGGAUGGAAUCCCGUAGGAUACGGAUAGCUGAUUUCCAGGGGGUCCCACGGGUGUCGUUCAACUGUCAGCCGUAACAUAUUUUUCAUCAAGGGCGUGAGAAGAAACCUGGUACCCCAGUCGUCGUCGGUUUUCCGUCUGAAAUCCCACGUCAUCCUCCCCAGCACAAGAAAAUGAUCCGAGCCGUUGGAUCGCUUCCAGUAAGGUUGCUCCUUAACCCACUCGAGGAAUCUCUCGCAGGGAUAAUCGCGCUCUGAUGCGGUGUAGUUGGUGAAUAGAUACUUGGAAACCGCUAGUCCAGCAUAAAAGGGGACGUAGAAAGCCGUAGCGGAUUCUGGCUCCAUGGUUCUGCACUUGUAGUGUGACAUCCGAGUGUGGUAGAUGAUCUCACCGGAGAACAUGUCCGUCCACCACCAUGAUGGGGCGAGCUCCUGAGGGACAGUUCCCGCCAGGGUGGCAGCGGCGUUUGGGCCAAAUCCAUUGUUGGAGACCGCAGGGCAUUUGGAUUUCCAAGGAUCUAAAUCGUGACAAUUGAUCACUAGUUCCUUGUUAAAGAUGGGAGGAAGGUCGUAUGCGUAAACCUUUCCGUAUUUGCAUUGUUCGUGGUUAUCAUCUUGAUCAGAAGGAGAAGCAAGCUGGUGACCUUCGAUGGCUUGUUCUAGUGGUACUUGUUUCGUAUUGUUAUCACCAUCUUCAUGGUCAGGAGGAGAGCCCAGCUGGUGACUAACGUCAUCUUUUGGCUUGUUCCCGUCCUCAACAACUUCUUCCAGUGGUUGUUGUUUGGGUUGCUGUUGUUCCUGUACUGCUACUUGUUCUUGUUGAAUUUUAUCAUCAUCAAGAGGAAGAUCCAGCUGCUGAAUGACCUGUGGCUGCUGCGGUUGUUCUUGUUGUAGAUGGGUGGGCGGAUAUUGCUCAUGUGUCGGAGGAGGACUAGGACCACCACGAGUGGUGAGGAGGACUAGGAGGAUAGAAAACUGGAAAAGAAUGAUCAUAAGAAGCCAUGCACAGUGGUAGAAAGAAACAUAAGAUUUCACCAAUCUGAAUGUGUUUUUCAAAUUAAUGGUGGUCUUCUUCAUAGGGUGACUGUCAAGAAUAUUAUGGCCUUUAACCGUUGAUGAGGAUUUGGAAAAGGGAUUCAUUCUGCCCCGAUCAAUUAGAGUGGCUUGGCUUGGUCUCUAGUACUGUUGCAGAUGGAUACAUAUGCAGGGAUGCCCGAAUAUAUUCUUUCUUUGCUUCAUAUGUAGUUGGGUAAAGCAUAUGUAUCCAUCUUUCACAUUUAAAUGGUUUGCUUCAAAAAAAAACUAGACGAAUGUGUUGUGCACUCGUUUGAUCCGAUAGUGGUUCAAUCCCCUCCGAAUUAUUCCUGAACUUCUUUAGGUUCGCCCCCUCCCCUUUAGUGUAGCAUAAAUUAAGGGUUCGUUUGGGAGUGAAAGAUUUGGAUAGAAAAGAAAGGGAAAGAAGAGAAAGUUUACUUUUGCUUCAUUUGUUAGUUUUAAGUUGGAAAAAAAAGAAAAGAAAUGGAAAGAUGAAUAGUUAAAAAAUUGCUUCCUCCCAAAUAGGAAAGAAAUGGGAAGAAAGUUUGGAGAAAGCUUGAUAUUUUUUUUAAAAUGCCUAUUUUGUCCUUAAAAAGGUUUUGAACAAAUAUUUAAUGACUUCUAUGUCCAAAAUCAUUCCACUAAUUCUCAAAAUUCCCAAACAACAUAACAAUCUUUUCCCUUCUCUUCUCUUCUUUCAUAAUUUAAGCUUUCCCUUCUUUUCUUUUCUAUCCUAAACUCCCAAACUAAGCCUAAGUUAUACAAUGUUAUCGUCUAAAAAAAAAAAAAAAAAAAGUAAAGCACUACAACUUCAAUCAUCAUGACGUAGGGUCACUUCUUGUUAGAUUUUGUUUUUGACAACCUUUUGCUGUUAGAACAUUUGUCUACAUGUUGUUUUAUUUGUAUGCGUGAUGUACGGGAGUACACAACUAUUUUAAAAAUUGUAUAGUAUAUUUUAAAUCUUCAAAGCCAAUUAAUCAUAAACAAGUACGUGCUUUGCUUCAAAUCUUGCCUCCCACCAAAUGCUACAUUUAAAGUGGGUUGGUUUCAAAAAAUUCAAAUGGAUGCAUAGUGCAUCCGUCUAGUUCGGUGGUGAUUCAAUCCCCUCCGGGUUACUCCUGGACCUCUUUAGAUCUGCCCCCUCCCCCUUAGUGUAAGAUAGAUUAGGUUAUACAACAGUUAUCGUCUUUAGAAAAAAAAAAAACGUACUUUGCUAGGAAUCACUUUUGUUUAGGGAUGGCAGCAGUCAAGGUAAGGUCCAAUAGAUCCGCUGAUAUUCAACCCGAAGGUUAAUCCGAUUAAACGAUUGAGGGGUAAUCCAUUAAGAUUUGAUAUUGACGAGCGCUUAACAACAAACAAUCGGACAGGAUUUGAUAAGAGAACCCUAGGAACUCAAUGUAUACAUACAUAUAUAUACAUAAACAUAAACACACAUAUACAUAUAUGUAAACACACAUGCCUCAAUUUUAUAGUCCAAUGAAAUAUAAUUUUAACUCUAUUGAAAUUUAAAAUUUCAAGUAAUGUGUUAAUUUAACAUGUAUAUAUUAAUUGUAGUUUGAUGAUAAUUAAUACACUUUUUUUUUUGAAUUAUUUAUAUUAACGGGUAAAGGGUAUCCAAUCUAUAAUCCAAACCCGAAAGAAAGAGGGAUUGAUAAUAAUGGAGUUAAAACUCUAGGAAUACACGAUAGAACUUGAUAAAUGAUUUAGACAUGCGAGUUAAAGAUUGACAAAAAAAAAAAAAAUUUAGAGGGCACCUAACCCUCUCCAUUCUUACUUUCUUUAGUCUUCACCGACAAUUUCAGCACACGGAAUGUAAAUGGUUGACAUUGCUGAGUUUGGCUGAAAUCUUACGCCACCGAAAAAAGGGAGAAAGGAAAAAAAAAAAUGGGAGAAAAAGAAAGCUGUAUCGUUUCAUUCCCAUCCAGUAGCUAAUAUUUGAGUGAUGCAAGUUCGGGUAAUUAAUCCGUGUCAUGUGUUUGUUUACUUGUCAAAUGAACGAUGCACAAUAUGGACAACAUGAAAAUUCUAAAGCCAGUUGCUUUCAAUAUUGGCUGGCUUAGAUUUUCCUUUCUGUAGUAAUCAAAUACAGACUGAAGAAUUUCGCUGGAGGUGCGUAGCAGCUGAACUGGCGUUAACGUCAAAAAUCAAGACCACCGCAUAUCUCCCAUCAAAGCUUUAUGCACGAAACCAACGGCACGGGCAAAAAGCGAGGAAGGAUUCAUAGUUGGGAGGUUUUUGUUUUCAUAUUCUCACAGGAGUGACCAAUCGAUCUCUAAUCUUCUUUCCCAUUUGAAGAUGGCACGCGUUGCUGAGUAGGUUAUGAAUGAAUACGUGUUAAAUCAAUCUAGCAACUAAUGAAGGAUUUAAAGGUAUUGGAAGAAACUUGAGAAUUGUUGGGACAAAAAAAUCUAUUAGCAGAACAGGGUUUUCAGCCUCACCAAAAUGGGCAGCAUAAGCCGUAGAUCUCCCUAGAAACCAAAAAAAAUGAUGCAAGAACAACUGUGUCUGCUCUGCUCAACUGACCGGUAAGCACUAGUUGUCUUGCAAACAAAACGAAAUUCCUACACUUCAAAUAGUACCUAUUGCUAAUUUUGGAACAGGACGAGUCUGGAAAUGAAACCAUACCUAAACUGGUGACAAAGCCCAGAUGGAAGUAUGCAGAGAGAGCAGAGGCUGGGCGCAGCCCAAAAUAUCCUGACAGGUUUUUCAGUGAACUACAUGUUAGAUAAAGUGGAGGCGAAACCAUUCAGACAAGGCCUACCUGAAUGAAGCAUGGUGUUUGAACUUUGAAGUGCAAGUUGUAUAGCUAAGUUUCGCCAAAUCAACAUUUAUUUGGCUGUAUCAUUUUUUUUUUUUAAUUUCAAUCACCUUUUUAUCUUACAUAUUCAUCGCAUCACGAAAAGUGACGUUACUGUAACUAUUUCAAAGAAUAUCUCAAGUAAUCUCCUCUCCUAUCCAAAUACACUCAAUAAAGACUACCUAAGAUAACAAUUUGACAUGCUAUUUAAAAGCGAGUGUGAUGUCUCUCAUACAUCCUUUUCUAAAAUGGUUACGAAUUCACUUUGAAAAAAGAGAAAAAAAAUAAGUAAUUGAACAAAACAAUCAAAGUAUGUAUGGCAGAAAAAAUAAAGCCGUGAGUUGCUGAGUGCACCCCCAACCCCCCCCCCCCCGGGGCGGCGGGGGUCGUUGUCGUCCGUAGCCAUCGACUUACUCUGGGAACGUGAUCUCAUUCAUGAUACGGGUCCCGACCCGUAUGGAUUGGCAUUUUUGACUAUUCUUCUCAGCACUUCCUCCACGCCUAUGUCGAAGGCAUCUUUGAGAUUGCCCAAUCCUCCCUCCGCAGCUGGAAAUGCGUACGAAAUCCUCGGGAUCAUGUCAAUCACUUUCUCCCUCAUCUUCUUGACGUCUUCCCUGCUGUAUCCCUCCAACACUUUCCUUAUCGAAGUCCCGUUCCUCACUUUAUUCCGGUGGAUGAAGACCGAAAAGGACUCGGUUUGAUCAGACAUGUACAGCUCGUACUGGCCCCCAAUGGUUCCCUCCCAGAAAAAAACGGGUAUGGAGCCGGCCAGCAUGCAGUCGAACGUGGACCUCCUGGUGACCGAGUCCCCCCUGGGCUGCAGACAAAAGUCCGAGUCCAGAAAGGCCUCCAGGACCGAGGAAGCGCCGUCCAAGCAUGGGGUCUUGGCACAGUCCACAGCGUUGCACGAAUCCGACUCCUCGUAACACUGAUCCAGCAACAAAGCCCUGAAAUCGUUCUUGAUAUACCCGCGUUUUCCGCCAACAAACGUGAAGAGGCUCGACCGUUUACGACUCCGAACAAAUUCCUGCCACUGCCCAACUUCGGAGGUGGUCCGGGGAUGGAAUCCGGAGGGAUAGGGCACGCUGACUUCCAGUGGGUCGCCAAGGCUCUUUUCUAUCGUUAAGCGGAACAUUUGUCUCAUGAGGGGCAUGAGGAGGAAGCUGGUCCCCCAGUCUCCAUCGCGGGCCCGUCUAAAAUCCCACGAACUACGCCCCAGCAUAAGAAAAUGAUCAGAACCGUUGGAUCUCUUCCAAUGCGGUUGGCCCUUGAUCCACCGGAGCAAAUUCUGGCACGGAGCAUCGCGCUCUUUCGCAGUGUAGUUUGUGAACAGAUACUUGGAAACCGCCAGCCCAGCGUAAAAGGGCACGUAGAAUGCCGCAGCCGAUUCUGGCUCCAUGGUUCUGCACCUGUAGGUGGAAAUCCGAGCGUGAAAGAUAAUCUCGCCGGCGAAAAGGUCGGUCCAGUACCAAGUAUGAGCGAGCUCUCGCGGGACCGUGCCGGCGAGCGUAGUGGCGUUUGGUCCGAACCCGUCGUUGGACACCGCCGCGCACUGGGAUCUCCGGGGGUCCAAAUCCUGGCAAUUCUCCAGCAGUUUCUUGUUGAAAAUUGGAGGAAGGUCGUAUACAUAAACCCUUCCAUACUUGCAUUGUGCUCGGUCAUCGGGAUGAUGGGGAGGAACCAGCGGCUGUUGACUAACCUGUUCCGGCGGCGUCCCCUGGAGCUGGGGACGACGGACGGGCGACAAUCGGUCGGCGGCUGUGGGAGGACUGGGAGCACGAGUGGUGGCAGUGAAGGCUAGGAAGAUACAAAAUUCCAAGAGAAAAAGAAUGAGGGCCCAUGCGAAUUGGUGGAAAGAAACAUGGGAGCGGACAAAAUUAAGUGCCUUCUUGAAAUCGAACGCAGUAAUAGUACGCUUGGGAUUCCCAUGGACACCGCGGUCCUUAACUUGUGACGAGGAAUUGGAAAGGGGAAGCAUUCUGCUCCGACUCUGAUCUGAAGUGGUGGCUUUGGUCCUCUCUUUUGGCCUUCGUCUCGUCUUGGGAGUGCAAAUUGCAUAUGCGUAAUUGCGUAUGCUCCUCGUGUUAGUUUUUGUUAAAACGUUAAUCUCAACCGACGAGACUAAUUCUGGCGCAAACACCAUCAAACCAACUGUUGUCGGAUGAAUUAGAGAAUGAUACAAGUCUGUCUGCAACGAGUAGGGUCAAUAUUUGUGGAUUGCGUAUAAAAUUUGUGUUUGUACCGGGCAUUGUAUUACGAUGUGCUCGCACCAAUCGAGUGUCUCGCAACGGAUCUUCUGUCUCACAUUCUGUGUCACUUUCUGUCACAUUUUUUAUUAUAUUGCUAUUUCUUCUUUAUAAACAUCAUGUUUUAAUUCCUUUUUGCUUCCUUAAGAUCCAAUAACUAUUAAUUGAGUAAUACACAAAAUUUAACAAAUUCAAGAAAUCAAAAUGCAUAAAAAAAUUAGAUUUUUUAUGAAUUUUUUGCUAUAUUUUUUAAUUUUUUAUUAUAUAUUACUUUUUUGAAGCUGUUGUAUUUAUUUUUUACUUAAUUAAUAGUUAUUGGAUCUUAAGGAAGCAAAAAGGAAUUAAAACAUGAUGUUUAUGAAGGAGAAAUAACAAUAUAAUAAAAAGUGGGACAGAGAGUGGCACAGAAUGUGGGACAGAAGAUCCGUUGCGCGAUUGUCUCAUUCAUCUUCACUGUCGAAUCACGAGGGAUUGACAUUUGUCACAAAAUUACACCGUUUAGUUUAGGCGAACGCAAGAAGCCACUACUGGCUGGAAGGAGGCAUCUUCUCUCCUUUAUAAAAGAAAGAAAGAACAAACAAAGACGUUCGAUAUGAAUUGCUUCCUUUUAUUUUAUUCUUUCCCCCAAUGAUAAGCCGGUUGAGCAGAAUAAAUCAAGUUUUUAGUAAUUUUUUUAGUUGAGUAAUUGAUAUUUUAUUAAACGGUUACUCGUAUGGUAAUUUCUAAUUGUUCAAACAUUAUCAGCCAUAGACAGGCGGCUACUUGUUAAAUAUAAAUUACCAACUUGUUAGGGUAGUUGUUAGUUUCUUGUUCUUCUUCCGUUUGAGAUAUUAAAGAAAUUAUUGUCAGUAAUUACGUUUAUUCAUCUCUUCUCUCCCAUGUAUUUCUUGUGUGAUUAUUUUCUCCCAUUAAUUCUACAGCCUUGCACGUUAAUAAUAUUAUAACUCAUAAAAAAUGUCAUGUUAGGCAUCAACUGUAUAUUGAUGAGGUGAGUUCUUCACUCAGGGAGCUGCUGACAAAUCAGUGAAAAUGAAUAUUAAAGAAAGAAAAGAACCAAAAAAAAAAAAAACAGUUUUGGACAUUUUAAAAAUGAAUUUAAUGAUUCUUUCUACAAAUGAGUGAAAAUGAAUAUUAAAGAAAGAAAAGAACCAAAAAAAAACAGUUUUGGACAUUUUAAAAAUGAAUUUAAUGAUUCGAAAGAAAGAAUGCAAAUGAGAAGUUUCGAACUCGAAUCAUUUCCCUUAUAUUAACAAACAAAAAGGGCAAAGACUAUCCUGUCUUAGUGGCGUACAAUUUGGUUAUCCCUUGUUUCUUUUGUAUGGAAAAGUCAAGGUGCUACCAAUUUCUAGAUUCUCUAUUUCCAAAUACAGUUGGAUUUCGAUUUCCCAAAUAUUGUUUGGAUAGGGUAUUAUUUGAAAUAUUAUUUGGAAUAAUUACUGUAGCACUUUUUGUGAUGUGAUGUAUGUGAGAUAAAAAAUUGUAUUGAAAAUUAUAAUGAUGAUGUCAGCAAAUAUAUUUGACCAAAUAAUCUACAAGAUGUCGUGUUGCCCUAAGAACUUGUGAUUUACUCUUUAUCAUCAAGUAAUAAUUGAGUUACACCUAAUAUAUGCCACCUACUAGAAGUGGCAAAAUGGAUUCAUAUCCACCAAUCCAUCCAUAUAAACCAACCUUAAAUGGAUUUGGAUGAUCCAUAUAAAUUCAAUGGUUUUAAAUGGAUAACCAUUUAAAUCCAAUUAUAUUGGUGGAUUUAAAUGGAUUAUCCAUCUUAUCCAUAUACAUCCAUUUAACUUAAAAAAUAGAAAACACAUUUAUAAAAAUGUGAAAUAAAAUCUUGUGGGAUCAUCUAUUCUUUUCUUCGUAAUUUUCUCAUAUGUCAAAUUAAUUUUGUAGGCCCACCUAUUCUUUCCUUCAUAACUUUCUCACAUUCUAAGUUGCCAAUAACAUUAAUUGCAUUUUAUUUGCUUCUAGUUCCUAGACUUCUUCCAUCCUUUUCAAAAUUAUAUUUUAGUCUCUACUCUUGUUUUUUUUUUAAUUAAACUCUCAUGUAGUAAUGAUUGCAAACAUUUAUAUUCUUAAAUAAAGAAAAAGCGAGAAUGCAUCAUGCAGUGUCAAAAUAUUUUUUUUUAAUUCUUUUAUUUAUAAAAAGAAUUUUUCUAACGAGUGUUCCCGCAACAUUGGUUAAGAUAUGUAAAUGACACCUUUUUUUUUUCUUCCCAAAUUCUCAUACUUGCAAUCCCUCUCCCCUUAUCACCCAACCCAAUUAUCCAAAAAAAAAAAAAAAGACACCUAAUUUACUAAGUAAUAUAAGGUAGCUUGUAUAUCAAUGGUAUAAUAAGGAGUUUCAUACAUUUUUAGGUACUACGUUCACAUGUGAUGAAAAUAUUUUACUUGUCAAAUAACAUAAGAUUUCGGAUUAGAAUUCACUUUUAUUCAAGACAUCACUCUUGAACAGGAGUGCAAAAAAUUGGAAACGUAAACUUCUUUUCACUGUAAAGCCAUAUUCAAUUCAUUCAAAAGUUAUAAAAAUGUAGCCAAGUUCUUAAUUGUUCAUUACUUUUCAAAAUGAUACUUAAAGUAAUGACAAAAGGUUAAAUUGACUACAAUAGUUAAAUUUUCUUGGAACUAAACUAAUUUUAUGAAGAACUGAAAUAGAGUAGUAGUACAAGCAUUUGUUAUUACCAAAAGGUUUUAGGUGAUUUAAGGAUAGAACUUUGGGGAUCUAUAUUUUUUGGGAAAAAACAUUUGAAUCUUAAAUUUAGAAUUUGGGAGAGUAAAUGGAUAAAUGGAUGGAUCAUGGUUUACACUAUCCAUUUAAAUGACAUCCAUUUAGAUCCAUUUAUUAAAUGGUUUUAAUUGGAUUGGAUCAAUUUGAUCCACUAUCCAUUUAACUAAAACCAUUUAUCAACCAUUUAUCCAUUUUGCCACUUCUACCACCUACCAUACAUUAAUGGAACAUGUGAAGAAUCACAGAGCAAACAGACAGUGUAAUGGAUGGAAAAAGAUGUGUAAUUAGAUUAAGUGCUAAGAUGUUUGUCAAGUCAACAACAAAUGAGUUAUGGUUUAAAAAAACAUGUAUGAUUAGAUUAAGUGCUAAGAUGUUUGUCAAGUCAACAACAAAUGAGCUACUUCUUGCACCAAAGAUGAUCAAGACAGCCAUUAGUACCCCCCCCCCCCCCGGCCCCAAAAGAAAAAUCCUCUAGCAAUAGAACCAACACAUUCUUUAGAAAAUCAACAUAUCAUUUACAGCUAGAAUCUGUGACGUUUAACAGAAGGAAGUGUUUCGGCCUUUAUUCCCAUGAGUGGAUGCAUGGGUGAUCAAUUAGCAUCCAUUGCUUAUCGAUUGCCUUUAAUGAACAUUUUUCUUAUAAUGGACGUGUAUGUAAACUGAGGGUCGCACUGAUCAGAUAACUGUAGAUCAUGAUCAGUGAUUUUUAUAACGUAGUGCACUGGAAUUUCACGAUUGCGAAAAAGUUGGUAUAGAUGAUACAAAUCCAAGGCGCUGAACGAUAUUGGUGAAUCCGAUAGAGAAGGGAAAAAACAAUCUUUAAUGAACAAUUUAGAGAAAGAAGGAAAAAAAUACAAAACACCACUACAAAACGAUGGAAAAAAUAUGAAUAUCCAUUUGUCUCCUUGAAAUUAUCUCUUUGGUAUAUGUGGCUGUAGCUGACUAGCUGUGGCUGGCCAAUUGCGCCAACUGUUUCUGCGAAAUGAAGAAAUCCAGGAAUUAUACCCAAAUACUACUGCUAUACCAAUGAUUUUCUUGCUUCCUCCCUUUCGAUUAACUCUUGCAAGAAGUCAUUCCAGGUGUCAAUAGGUCCAGGCAAACACCAAUGCACGCAAUCAUUAGCCAUUUUCUCAUUUGGCCAGUGGCCAUAUUUGCUUGGGUGACCAUCCGGUCUUAGCAACAUGGGUUGUGUUGCAUCCAGCAACCUAAAUUUCAAACCCCUCUUGCUUCCCUCUUCUUGUGCGAUUCUGAGUUCCCGCCGUUGAAUCUCGUACAUUUCUACCAUGUAGUCCUCCAAGACAGCCUCAUUCCUCUUAUAAGGCAUCGUUCUCACACAGUCUCCACCUUUGUCCCAAGAUCCACCUUCGAAGUGUGACGGGGUAAUGGUCCUGAGGAAUGUCACGCCCUUAAAAUUUGCUAAGCUGUUAAUGGCUCUGAAAGCAGUUCUGAAAGCUCUUUCAUAGCUAAAGUUCAUUCUCAAGCGAGCAACAUUGUCCAGUUGACAGGCGAGGCAGCCAAUCAGAGUGCGAUUUUCAUAGAAAAUGGUUGGCCGGAAGAACCAUUGGCCAGCUGAAAUAACAAUGUAGUCGUACCCUUCAACCUUGGUUGUCCAGUCCUCGUCAAACUCAUCUAGAUAUAGAUUGAAGGGGCGGGUGACGUCGUUGGGAUCAGUUUUUUCUGACCUUACCAGAUACGGAGCUGAAAAGAUGGAAAUAUUGAAGUUAUAAUCCUUGUAUACCCAAUGCUGGUUCUCAUCAUUCCCAGUAGAAACAUCCAGAGGAUCAAGAACCUGGAUAUACACGAAAAGAUGUUUAAUCCCAACUUCCACAGAGCAUAAACUAACGAUGUUUUCCAGUUGGUUGGUUGAUUAGCCAGGUAUUUUCUUUGGGUUGAAUUGUGUGAAUGAUAUAUUCUCAAUGUUUACUCUGUCUCAGUCUUGGUAGAAGAAAUCAAUUCGAGCUUUUACUAGAAACAAUCUGCCAUCUAGACGAUAGCCAUCAUCAUCUCGAAAGUGCGUAUUUCCUAUUUACCAUAUUAGAUGUAAAAAGAGAUUAUAUAAUCUUUCCGUUUCUUUUUGAUAUAUAAUCAGAGUUAUCAAACUUAGAAUACUGAAGUGGAUGGUCGACAUUUAUAAAUCCUGCCUUGCUAGCCUGACCCAGAUUUGUAGUUCAGAUCAUUUACGCAGGUGGUUCAUUACAGCUCCUAGAUGUCAUCCUGGCAAAAUUAAGAAGAAAAAUCCAUGGACUAAGGCAGCCAAAUGUCUUGUAUGGAUAAGCUUCUAAAAUGUCAGAAGCCAGAAAAGGGAUACUAGCCAAGUCACCAUAUGUGAUUUUACUAGAAGAUCCUAAACUCCUCAGCCAUUCAAUUUGUUUCAAAAACCCAAAAUUAACCGGCAACUGCCUAUCAAAGCCGCAACUUCCCAAGGAAAUGCAAUAAAAAUCUCCAACAGUAGGUGGUGCCGAUUACCUUAACCGUUUUCACCGGACCAAAGGAAUGCGACGAAUAUUCACUUUGAAGUCUUAAUUAAACCGUGUUGAAACAUUCAAAACCAUUUGGGUGCCAGAACAUGAGACAUCGUCACCUGACAAGGAUUAGGGACAACUACCAGGCCAAAUGGACUUUAAAUUCUAAUGACCUCUUUCCGUUGAGAUUAGCAGAAAUGGCGACAGAAAAAGUUCUACUCAUACUGAAAACAGUGAGGACCAUUGGUUAAAUAAAGACUAAUUAAGAAGAUCAGAGAUCGUAAUAGUGAACGGGUUGGGGAGGACUUAAUUACCCUGGACAAGAGACAGAUCAAUGACUGCAUAUGGUUCCUUGCGACAGAGUCUCCAAUGAAGGCAAUGGACUUUCCUCGGACCAGCUCCAAGAAAUGGUUGGGAUCGAAGAUUGGCAGCACGCACCCGUCUGGUUUCCACCUCCAUUUCAAGAAACCCGUGUCGGGUCUUGCGUAUUUCAAGCAAUUCUGAUGGUCUUGAAUCCUAUAACAGGUGGCGUUGGUAUAAUAUGGCGCCUCUGGGUUGGGAACCCAUUCCCCUGAAAACAAAUCACAGUAGUUUUCUUGAGUAGUACCUGUUGGAUUCUGGGAAUUUGUCCUGUUGUAACUAUGAUCAAUCUGAGCAGGAGAGCUUGGGCUUGGGAUUGAUGAGGACCUGGUGCUGCCGGCAGCUGCUGUUUCUUGUGCUGCUUUGUGGCUUCCGGGCUCAUCGCCGCCUAGAAUUUCUUUGGACUUUGUUGUAUCAUUAGAUUCCGGCCAUUCGGGAUCUUUAGGCCUCCUUAUCGUUGACUCCUCGAGAGAAGGGGUUGCUUCAGAUAUUUCGCCGAGCUUGUACCAGAAUGAAGGAGGAGAAUACACAGAAAUGACAAGAGACAAAAGAACAGUUAUGGCGAUGAGGAAAGUGGCUACUUUAGGUAUCCUUCUUAGCUUUAGCUGUAAGGAAAGCUCACCGGCUUGGCGUUUCAUAACUUCAAUGAUGAUAACACAACAGGAGGGGGGAAAAUAAACGGUGCGACUCAACUUUUCCAAAUAUUGACUUUUCCUUUCCCCAAUAAAGAGAAGGAUUGGGAACAGAAGGAAGGCUGCAGCGGUACAGGGGAUUAAAGGAAUACCUGCAUGAAAACGACCAGCAUGCUCUCUAACUAAGAACCUCAAUCUGCUCAAAAAAAAAAAUUACAAACUUCAGUGAGACAGCACCACUAAAAUUAAAGCCCUUCACUCGUACAUGCUACAAAAGCAACAAUUUGUCUUGCCAUAUAUUAAAUCAAGCCUAAUAAUUAUAAUAGUUUCUAUAUUAUAUUAUUGUUUAGCAGGUUUUAGGUCAAAUUAAGUUUUUAGUAAUUUUAUAUUUAGUAAUUGAUUAUUAUAUUAAGUAAUUACUUACUUAUUAAAUUUGUUUCUUAUUUAUCAAUUCAUGUUGAAUAUAUAUAUAUAAUUCAUGUUUCUUAUUUAUCAAUUCAUGUUGAAUAUAUAUAUGUGUGUGUGUAUAUAAUGUGUUUAAGUAUUGUUUUCGGUUGAAAAGAGUAAAAGUGUUUUGAUUGUUGUAAAGAUAUUUAUUUAUGUCGAGAUCAUGAUUAAUAAACUUCUCCGAGAGAGGAAGGAUUGGGUUGAGUGGUAAAAAGAAAAAAAAAAAAAAGACCUCUUUUCUCACAUAUGUUUAUAUGCAUUAAAUAUCCUCUGCCGCUGCAAGAACAGACAUGUUGAAGCUUGAAACUCAAAACCAUCCCCGUUUAGUCAAAGAUGAAAUUAGUGUGGCCAUUUAAUCCGCGGUUCCCAAGUACUACUCCAGCUUAAAAUAUGACUGCAAGUAAAUACUACUACUACUAAUAAAAAUUUUGUCUACUUACUGCAUACACAUAUUAAUUGCCUGGCGGCUCAAAAGUUAAACCCGCAGGAUUCAAGAAUGGAAAGAAAAAAAUUAUAAUUUUAGUGCAGCGUAUCAAAGAAUGGUUGUGCAGCAAAUAAUUUUACUGUAGCAUAACCAGAGUAGUUAAUCACCGCAUGUCGUAUGGAAUAAGAGGUUAUUACUUAAUGUCGUCGUUUUCCUUAAAUUCAUAUGGGUGCGUAAUAUACCAUAUGAUCCGAUGGUUCCAGUCAAUUUUCCGUACCCUGUUCGAUUACCCCAGAAUAGAUUAGAGUAGAAGUACUGAAGUAGAUAUAAAUAAUAACAAUUGAACAAAUAUAUAUAUCAAAGAAUGGAUGUUCACCAUCCAUAUGGCAUUUCACAAGUUCAGGUUCCUGUUACUAUUAUGAUUUAUGAUUUCAAAGGUAACCCAAAAAAAAAAUGUAUACAUUGAAUACAGACAAUCCACAACCUUCCAUUUAUCGAACUCAACAGAAUUCAACGGGCGAACGUGCCUAGAAAAGUUCGACUAGAAUUUCUUUGUAUCCGCACGUGCGUGCGCCUGUUUUAAGUUUUGCUGUCCUUGUAAUUAGAAAGGUAAGAAAGAAUAGGUAAAGCUUCUUCUCCAAGUCAAAACAAAACCAUUUUUGCGGCGCGGCUCAACCAUUCAUUCAUAACUGAUUGGAUUAGUUAAGCCUCGUAUAAUGGCCAAAUCCGUAUAUAGUUUCCAAGAUCUCACCAUAGCGAUGUAUCGACAAGCUUCGUUGGCAGAUCAAAUUCGAAGGGGCAAAAGAAAAAGGACAGGAUACACCUAAAGCGAUGCGGCGCCCCAGGAAGAAGUUGAAUCGAGCAAAAAAAUAGUAAUCAAUCGACUAAGCAGCUGCGGAGUGGGGGAAACAGCUAGCCCAGUCUCGCAGGAACAGGUCCGAUGCUCAAUGGCCGCCAAUCCAUCCAACAAGUCCAAUGCACGAACGCCGGCCUAUGCAGCCUGUUUUAUUCUAUGAAAGCCCUCUGGGGAGGCCUAGGUAUAAGUAUCCUGCCGCUUGAUCAGAGGAAGCCCAAUCUCUCUCUCUCUCUCUCCAACUUGUAUAAAUAAUAAUCUUUCUGCACUCAUAAUUAACAAAUAGGAGUAUGCAAAAUCAUCCAUAUUUGAAAAUUAGAAGGGCUGCAAAAGGUGUAAUUAAAAGUUACAGACAAUUACGAACCUCUGAAUCUACACACACAAUUACAUACGACUCCAAACCUAUAUAGACAACUCUGAACUACUAGUUUUCCUAUAACUAUUAUUCUAUCUCUUGAUUCCUAUAAUUUAGGUAUUUUCACUCUCAAUUCUACCCCAUGUUCUGUAAGCAUUUUGACAAAUCUUUAAAUACCAAGCAAUAUAAAACAAGAAUUAGGAGAGUUUUAAUAUGUCCUUUGACUUAUCAAUGCUGCUGGAAUCCGUCAACUAAUAACGGCAUUAUUCAAUGUAUAUAUACAUCAGAUUGCCAAAUUCAGAGAAAGAGAAAGGAAAAGGGGAACCACCUACGGCUUAAAAAGUAAAGAUAAAUGAAAGCAUUGAACAUAAAAUCGAAAAGAAUCCAUACAGGAGGUGACCAGCUUUUGAGACCUCAAACCUUACACAUCUUGAAUUCAAAUAUCCCUUCUUCUUUUUUUUCCCGGCUUUUUAAACCUACCCUGUCUGCUUGACCCCCAAAAAAAAAAAAAUUCAUACAGCUUCUGGCGGCAUGGCUUUUGUCAAUUUGUGCUCCGUAAUGAAUUCAAUGACUGUAAGCAGUUUUUUCUUCUUCAAAUCUUUCGAUAAUCAAAUGUCAUUUCAUUCGGCGACCGACAGAAUACGACUAAUUAGGUAACUGGUUUGUCUGAUUCCUCCCUCCUUAAUAACUCUAACAAAACAUCAUUCCACGAGUCGAUCGGUCCAGGCAAACACCAAUGCACACAAUCUCUGGGCAACUCCAACUUCUGAUCUGGUAAAUGGCCAUACACGCUGGGGUGACCAUCCGGUCUCAGCAGCAUAGCUUUCGUUGCAUCAAAUAACCUAAGCCUCAAUCCUCGUUUCCUUCCUUCUUCCUGCGCAAUUCUAAGUUCCUCUAAUUGGAUCUUGUACAACUCUAAAUUAUAUCCCUCUAAGACGGCUUCAUUUCUCUUGUAAGGCCUGGUCCUAGGACAGUUUCCGCCGCUAUCCCAAGUUCCAUUUUCGAAGUGUGACGGAGCAAAGGUCCUCAGAAAUAUUACACCCUUGAAAUUUUGCAGACUAUUAAUGGCUCCAAAUGCUGUUCUGAAAGCCCUUUGAUAGCUAAAAUAUGUUGUCAAGCGAGUGACAUUCUCCUGUGGACAAUAUUGGCAGCCGACCAAAUUGCCCUUUUCGUAGAACAUGGUUGGUCGGAAGAACCAGUGGCCAGCGUUGAUGAUAACGUAGUCAUAUUCUUCAAUUUUGGUUGUCCAAUUUUCAUCAAACUCGUCAAGAUAUAGGCUAAAAGAACGGGUCCUGUCCUUGGGACCAGUUAUCUCAACUGACCUUACCAAAUAAGGAGCCCAAAAGAUUGACAUUCUAAAAUUGUAUCCUUGGUACUCCCAUUGUCUGUUCUCAUCGGUUGAAUUUGAAAUUUCUUGAGGAUAAAGCACCUGGAAAUAGCGUGAAAAGAUUUAAUUUCUCCAUCUGAUCAUAAGGAGAGAAAUUAAUUUACACAAAAUCAAAUGGGACAACAAUAAGCUUCUCCUACACCCCCACAAUACCCUCCCCCCCCCCUCUCCCUUUAACAAAAAAAAAAAAGGCUUCCUUUUUAGGGUGUGUCUGUGUAACGUACUACAUCCUACUUGUAGUGUACUAUGAUAGCAAUGAUUUCUUUGAUGUAUGAAAUUAGGUCGCACUUCAGGUUCAACAUUAAUUAGGGUUUCAGUACUGAUAUGCCAAAGGUGACAUUAAUGCAUUUAAUCUCAGUCGCAAAAGGAUUCAAGGAAACCAGUAACAACCGAUCAAAUAUUUUGCUUGGUGUCCAUCAAUCAUCGUAAAGCAUCACAAUCCUAUUUUUUCCUCCCUACAGAUACAAUCUUCUGAUAUCAAUGAAAACAACAAUGUAACAAUGAGGUGACAGUGGUCAUCGUGGACAAUAAUUUAGAUCUCGGACAAUAUGUUGAAUUAGCAAAUAUUUUUAGAGUUGACAGUGAACUUACCCUGGACAAGAGACACAUCAAUGACUGCAAGUGAUUUCUUGCCACAGAGUCUCCGACAAAGGCAAUAGACUUUCCCCUGACGAGUUCCAAGAAUUGGUGUGGGUCGAAUAUAGGCAGUUCACAGCCAUCUGGUUUCCAUCUCCAUUUCAAGAACUCUAUGUCAGGCCUUCCAUAUUUCAUGCAAUUCUGAUGUUCUUGAAUUCCAUAACAAGAGUUGGUAUAGUACGGUGCCUCAGGGUUCGGAACCCACUCCCCUGAGAAUAAGUCACAGUAUUCUUCUUCUUGUGAUCCCUGUGCUUCUAUUUCUGCUGAUUUUGUAACCUCAACUUGCUCUGCUUUUAGGCUUGGUGGCUCCUCCUCAUCCUCUUUUGUUACUUUUCGGUCCUCUACCCCACUUUCUCUGUGGUUACAGGGCUCAGAACCAUCAUGUUCAUUACGACAUGCCUCCAAAAUGACACCCGAAGGAGCAGUUGACUUUACUGGUUCCUCCGCUGAAUCAAACUCAGAAGGAAGUUUGGAUGCUUUCUUCGUAUUGAAUUGUGUUGAAGGGGAAUAAAUGGAGAUAGCUGAUAACAGAAUAGUUAGGGCUACAACUAAGGCUAUCUUUGGUAUUUUUCUUCUAGUUUGAUGUUUCCUUAGUGAAUGCUCAAUGGCUUGGAACUUCAUUUUUAAGGCCUUGAAGGAAAACUAAUUAAGCCAGAGUAAGAGAGAAUGAGGAUGAAGGAGCCACCAAGGAAUUACACACAGUAGUAGAUCAGAAAGAACUUGUGGCCAACGUUCCUCUCGAGUUUUUAACAAUGGCACGUAUUGGAAGUUCCUUCACAAAACCAAAUCCAAAUAAUAAAACGCGUAUUAGCAGGAGACUUGGAGGUUUUUCUUAUGCAGAGCAUGUGAGACAUAAGGAGCGGAAAACAGAGCAAUGCAUGCAAUUCAUACUAUUUUCUCUGCUUAAACCCAGAAACAACAGUAAUACUUAAUCUUAGUAAUGCAAGUUCUGCAUUGCCUUGGCACAGUUGUGUAUAGAUUAAUAUUUUAAAGUUGAAACUAGGAAAUAACAAAGAAUGCCUCAUAUGUAGUCAAUUCAGAUCUGAAUAAAAAGUCGGAAAUUGUGGACUAUGGACUAUGAAGCCAUCAUGUUCUAAAGUUAUCCAACAGUUGAUGUUACUGCAGCAGGGCUACUGAAAGUAUCAACAGCCUAAGCAUCAAAACGUACAAAGUUAAGACCAUGAUUGCUGCAAUUUCAACGACUCCUCUUUUUCUCUUAACUUUGCUUUUUCAAUAACAUCUUGAACAACUCAUUAAACAAGCUUUAGGUAUCUUUUAAAUGCUGAAACAUGAUGAAAAGGUUAGCUAAAUGACCUAUGUGUUCAUUGCAAAACAUGGAAGAAUUUAAUGGUUAGAGUUAAAUUCCAAUUAUCACUAGCAUAACCAGUUUGAUGGUGAGAAUAUAACCGUAUGAACAAGGAGCCAACUGAAUCUGUCAGCAAAUCAAGUUAGAAUAACAGUCUUUAGAUGCUAUUCGUUAGUAACAGUAGUUAUGCAAGAUGAGCAAAGAUUAAUUCCAACUAGCAUGUCAAUACUUGGGUUGGACUCUAGAGAGAACAACUUCUUAACGUGUUUCCACAGCCAUAUUGUCGGACAAACCUUCUUUAUGACUUGUGGUGGUAAGCAUGCGCCCCUUAUCUUCACGCCAACCAAUAAGUAUGAGUUUAUUCAUGUGAAUCUUUCAAAUGAUUCACAGAGUUUCAUCUUUGAAAUACAAGUAGUUAAAAGAUCAUUAUCUUGGAAUUUUAUGUUCAAUUUUCUCAAGAAAAAAUAUACCUUAUUUCAAUUUUGUCCAUAAAACGACCAAAGUCAAUAUGUAUUCCAAUUCCAAGUUGACGACCAGAGUCUUACUUAUACAUUAUACAACCAAAUCAAUAACGAAUUACUAGCAGUUAAACUCAAAUUAUUACAAGUAUGACAAAACGAAUCGACCUAAACGAAUUAAGUGUAUACUGACAAGUCCAAAUCCUCAUUAAAAUGCGGUACUGCCGUUGUUUUCUAAGUGUCAAUCAUGCAGCAUGGUCGUAGUUUGGACGGUCCAUUCAGUUUAGUCAUCAGUCAUCAAAGAAGGCAACAAAUACUACCAAGCAGGAGUUAUGCUCUACAUUAUCUCAUGCACCAGUAUACCGCAUAAAAAUCAUGAUAACAGACAUGACACUGGCGAUGUAUAUGAUAAUCAAGAAAAUUACUACUCAAUUAAUUAACAGCAUACAAAAGUGUCAGACCUAAUCAGCAAAAAAUGGAGUUACCUCCAAACUUCUCCUGAGCAUUCUGCCUUCGGACCAGAAUUCGUGCGAUAAAGAGAGUCAAUCGUGUAUAGAGAUGCACAGCUGAGCAAGCUGUCAUGUACUAUGAAACUGUCAAGGGAUGGAGAGGCAGAAUGGCAGAUCCAGUUUAAAGAGAAGUGAAGCUGGGCUGUGGCAGAUUAGAGGAGAAUUAGGACCCGCGGCAGCUUGUCAAGCAGAAACCGGCAGUAGAGUGGGUAAUGGGGGAGGAGAGGAAGAAAAAGUCCGGAAGGAAGAGGAGAAGAGCUCUGUACGAAGAUGGUGAUGAACUUUGGCUCUUAGCUUGCCUUGGUACUUGGCCCGGGUUCGGUGGUUUGUUCGAAUGUGGGGCCAUGGUACAAAUGCAUGUGUCUGCUCCCACGACAUCAGUGCACGACGCUUACCCAUAUAUAUAACUAAUUGUAAGCAUUACAACUACCAAUGUAACCAUUAGUAUGCGAAUAAAUUAAGAAAUUAAAGUUUGCUUGACAAUAAAAAUUUUAUAUAAAAUUCAUUUAUCAUAAAUAUAAAAUAUUACUCCACGUAUUUUUUUAUUGCACGCAAAUCAAAUCGAAUCAAAAUACAACUUGCAAUGCAGGUAUAAAUAAUAUGAAUAUAUCUUAAUAUCUAGAUUUAUUUAGUUUGUUUAAAUAUAUUGCAUGGUACAAUUCUUACUAACUAUUGUAGGAGAUUCUAAUCCAAAAUUGCUUUAGUCACCUACAAUACAUAACGGUAGAGUUUUGGAUCUGGUGUAAACAUUUCUUUGUUUUGUCGUCAUUUUUAAAAUUUUCAAUUUCACCCUUAUAAUUAUAUGUAAUUAUAUCAGUCGUGAUUGCAUAUCAUGCUAACUAACAUAACUAAAGUUAAACCUCACCCUUACUGUGUAGGCAUAUGUCACCUACAUAACUGCCCAUAAAACAUUAUUUUAAUCAUCAAGUUAAUUAAAAUUUUAUUAAAAAAACUAUUAAAAAUCAAACUUUUUUGUUUAUAAAAGUUUUUUACUAAAUUCUUCCGAAUAAAAAAGCUAAUGUUUCUAUUUUUCCAAGACGGUAAAGCUAAUGUUUCUAAGCCAUACAAACAUGGUGUGUGCCCUUGCCUCCUUGGCACUUGUUUGAAACUAGGUGCUGGCUACUUUGGCAACGAUGAUUCAGCUCAACUUGAAAGUUUCCAGCUCAAGCUGUUCGAACAAGUAAACGAGUUUCUACGUACCCCACAAUCUCAAGUAUAUUACUAUUUCCCCAUUUUUAGUUUUAUUGCAUAUAACUUUAUAAAAAAAAGGGGGCAGUAAAAGUUACCAAAAGCAACUAACUGACGAGGAUUGUGGGGUAUUUACUUUGGAUUUAAGGUUCAUGGAGGUAUCCUCCUGUCAUCAUUUGAUUGGAUGGGUAUUCCUCGUGAGUCCUUUAGAUUUCUUUCGGAUUGGUUUGCUGAUGUUUGCUGCGUGUCUCUCAUUGUGUUGGGUGUGUGUGUAAUAUUUCAUUUCGAAAAAAAAAAAAGACGAGGACAACAUAUAUUAAAUAAGGAUAUUUUAGAGAAAUUAAAAAAUAACUAUAUUUUUCAAUUGAAAAAUAGACUAUAAUUUGAAACAAAUAAAAAAAAUAGAACUAUCAAAAUUGGACGGGGGAGUAGUUGCCAAAUGUUCAAACUUUCUCCUCUUAAGGUCUUGCGUUUUAAGCAUACUUUCUUUAAAAGUGAAAUUUCAAACAUUUGGAGCUGUUGUCAAUUACUGCUCUCUUAUACAUUACGAAGGGAAAUCAUUUAAUUCAUAAGAAUACAUUACGAAGGGAAAUAAUUAAAUUCAUAAUAUUCUUUUAAGACUGGCCCACUCGUCCUUUCUAUGACGAUCUCUUCUGGUUGGUUUUUUGUCUGCAUCGAACCAGAGGUCCGGGUGAACAGUAAAACCCCAACAUAAUUCCAUUAUUGCUUUCACUCAAUGCAUGGAAAGCAGUUCCCUACCACGUGCUUUCUAUCAGCCCAUUGUCCCCGUCUAGAUGGCGACAUGUUCUCUGCCGGAUCCAUAUGUAGUUAAAUCAGAUUUUUGUUUUAUAUAAUAUUGAAUAUGUUACUCCGGGAUUAGCUAUUUUUGAGGGUAUUUUAGAAAUAUUUUACUGUAAUAAUAUAAUUGAAAAGCUUUUACUGUAAAUAAGGCUAUUUUUUAUGUUAUUUUUGGGUGUUUUUUAAGGUUAUUUUUUUAUGUUUUUUGAUGUUUUUGAAGUUGUCUAAAUUCUAAACCAUAGAACGGAUUCCAGUGCACCUUCUGGAUUUAGGUGGUCUGCUAUAUCAAACACAAACGCCCUAAAUUACCUCAUUUAGAUGCCAAACUUUAUGAGUCCUAUUGAAGCAAUUUCAAUUUUUCCUGCUAAACAGUACGAACAAGGCCACGCUCUUUUUUGAAAAAAGGCUGGACCAGCCAACAAGUCAGUUUUUUAGCUACUUUAAACGAGAUCUUGGGUUUUUUUUUUCCCUUUCCCCCUCUCCCUGACAAAGAUCCUUCACUAAAGUUUGCUAUAAGGAAUACAAAACUUUAGGACUACUAAGUGCUUAAUUAGCACGAGUAAAACUUCUGUUGCCUCAAAUUCCAUUCCACGGCGACCACGUAAUACAAAGAGAAGGAAAAAAUCAGGGACACGUUUGAAUUGCAUUUUUUUGAAUUUUUUUUGUAAAAAAAUUAUUAUAAUAAUUUAAUAUAUAUAAUAUAAAAAAAUGAUUGCGAAAUAUAUUCACGAAAAAUACAGCAAUUUUUUAAUUUUUUCCAAACAAGGCCUUAUCACAAAGAUCACCGACAGAUCGUUCCUGCACUUUAUUUAAUGGUAAUUGGCAGGUCUGUUUUUGGAAGCCUCCUCCUGCGUGCGCUUGGAUGUUAGAAGAUGAGCUUUAAGGACGAAUAAAACCAAAGGUAGGCCCCUGAGAUUAUGCCAAAUUGCGGCCUAUCCAGCUGUGGCGUCCGGUUUGGUUGGGGCCAGAGGGGACUUUCUCUAAAUCUCGUUUAGUUUUUUCUUUUCACCGGGCCAAGUUGGUUGGAGGGGGGCUCUAACCCCUUAAUUCUCAUAAUUGAAUUGAAUUUUGCUAGACAACGAAAGCACAACAGUUUAGUGGAUAUUCCCAAUCUUAACGAAAAACUUCCUGUUCCCGCAAGGGUUCGAGUCCAUGGUUAUCGUAUUCAGAGGGAUAGAGCCUCCCCUCUCGAGUCGGUGGGGAAUUAGUCAGAUCCGAUUUAUCCGAUGGCCCGAAUAUCCCCUCAAUCAGACCCAAAAAAAAAAAAAAUUUCCUAUUCAUUCUUCCCCGUGACACGAUGAAGUAAAAGAUAUGUGAAUUGAUAAAUUUUUUGUCUCUCAUCCGGAUCAUGAAUCUGAUAGUAAACCAUACACAAUCAGGCCAACGUACACGAAUCAGAAAAGAAAAUUGGGUAUUUACGGUAUUUUACUUUUAUCAACUUCUCAUGGUUUGUGAUUAACACAUUUGCAAGGUCCGAUGUUGUAUAGGAGGGGAGAGAUAGAUAUACACGCUAAAAAAUGUAUAACGGGAGAUUGCUAUAUACAACACAAACAUACAUAUGUGUAGUAGAAGAGGAAUAAAUAACACAUUAUUAAUGACACACAAUAAUAAUACUCUUAAUUUUUUUAUUCUUCUCAACUGAAUAUAAUAAUUAAAUGCCUUAUAUAACCUUGUAUAUAAGUCAAAAUAACUGGAUGAAUAAAGAACGACCAUCUAGUACAAUUUUCAACUAUUAUACAAUAAAUAGAAACAUCUAAAUAAGUAAUAUUCUUCUGGAAAAGUAAUUAUCUAAUUUAAUAUUCAAUUAUUACAUAACAAAUAAAAAUAUCUAAAAAAAUAUUCGGCUUUAUAUAUAUAUAUAUAUAUAAUGUGACAGCGCUAUGUAUUCCAUGCUAAUAACUUUUAAGAUGACAUGAUGGAUGCACCAAAUUCCCAAAAGCUUGCGAGUUAAUCAUUAGGAACAUUUAAACGUUUUAGAGAUUGGGAGGAUUCACGGGUAUUUCCUCGGUGCCCUUUUGUUUAAACUAUUUUUGGUUGAAAUUAUUACUCUAUAUAACAGUAGUGUCACGUAGAAUAUAGCUUAACUACUGAAGCAGCUCGACUCCUCGCGUCCUCAUUGCAAUAGGAUCUGCGGCCUCACAAUUUCUAGCUGGUUUCUAUAUAUAUAUAUAUAUGUAUAUAUAUAUAUAUGUGUGUAAGAGAAAAGAAAUCCCAUCAAGCACAAUAAUUUAUCCGGCCACCAGAAUAUUUGAAGAACCAUGAAAAUGCACCCCUUUGCCAAAUUCUCAUUAUCGUCGUCUGGCACUAGUAGCAGCAGUAGUAGACGCAAUUUUGUGGACAAACCCAAGAACCGUCGUGCAUGGCUUUUCGUUGCUCUCGUCUUUCCUAUUCUCAUCCUCCUAAUGUUCACCAGUGCUCCGAGACAAUAUCUAUCCAUCCGUCGUCUGAAGCUACGUUUCCGAGCUCCGGCUGGUUCUGAGCAGUGCAAGUACGGCACGGUCUAUGUAUACGACCUUCCUCCAUCCUUCAACAAGAAAUUGUUAGACAACUGCCGCGCUAUAGAUCCGCAGAAUUCACUUUGCGAUGCUCUCUCUAACGAUGGGUUUGGCCCGAAAGCCACCGAUUUCCAGGGAAUCAUCCCCGAGGAUCUUACUCCCGCGUGGUACGCCACUAGCAUGUUUGCCGGUGAAGUUAUUUAUCAUACCAGGAUCUCCAAUUACAAGUGCAGAACCUACGAUCCAGAUUCUGCAGCAGCUUUUUACAUACCCUUUUAUGCGGGAUUAGCCACUGCCAAGUAUCUGUACGCUAAUCGCAGUACUGAGAGCGAGAGAGAAUCGCAGGGCGAGAGCUUGGUCAAGUGGGUAACUGAGCAACCGUCUUGGAAGAGAUCCAACGGCGCAGAUCACUUUAUUAUGCUGGGCAGAGUAUCUGGGGAUUUCAGGCCUGGGGAUCAUCAUAUGGAUGCAAAAUCGGGGUCGAGCUUCGUUCUCAUGCCUCCCAUCAGACAGACGCUAAGGCUGGCACUUGAACGAAGCCCCUGGGACCGCUACGAGAUUGGGGUGCCGUAUCCUACGGGAUUUCAUCCCAGGUCCAACGCUGAGCUUGAGAAAUGGUUGAAAUUCGUGAGAACUCGCAACCGGUCCAAGCUCUUCACAUUUGUGGGAGGGAAAGAAAAAAGGUUGAAGGAUGACUUCAGGGGUUUGUUGGUGGACCAGUGCCGCGACGAGUCUGACAGGUGCACAGUUGUGGACUGUUCGGAGACUCCGUGUUCCGAUGGAAGCCCGGCAAUUCUUGAACCCUUCCUGGGCUCCAACUUCUGUUUGCAGCCCAGAUCAGGUGAUUCUUUCACGAGAAGAUCCACAUUUAAUUGCAUGCUGGCUGGUUCAAUACCGGUUUUCUUCUGGAAAAGAAGCAUCUUUGGUCAGUAUGACUGGUUCCUGAGAGAUGACCCCGAGCGGUUCUCGGUAUUUAUAGACGAGAACCAAGUGAGAAACGGGACAAUUUCUAUUAGGAAAGUGUUGGAGGGAUAUGGCAUUGAAGAGAUUCAGAUGAUGAGGGAAAGGGUCACUAAUCUGAUACCUAGGUUUCUUUAUGUUAUGCCCGGUGAUGAUGAAUACGAUGAUGGUGGUGUGGGGAAGUAUACCAUGAGAGAUGCAGUUGAUAUAGCUGUUGAAGGGGUGCUGCGACGAUUCAAGGAGCUAAGAUUAGUCGAGCGACAAUGAGCGCAAACAAAUUACCCGCCAAAGGCUCGAGACCUCAGUUCAAGGCCUCCAGUGGGUGAUUCUUCUGGGGUCCUCGUUUACGUGGUUCAAGUUCAACAACAACAAUUUUGCUAUUCGGACCUCUAAUAAGGUCCGGUUGAUGAAUUCACAGUACCAGUGUAUUGCUAAUUGAUUAACGCUGGAAAUUAAUUGCUUGAUUCAGAGGAUCAGGCUUCAUUAGUGUCGUAAGUAUGCAAGUAUUUAUGUUGUCAUCAAAAGUCAGUUUGUACUUGUGGAUUAAUUGAAGAAAAAAUACCGUGAUAAAAGAGUAAAAUUUACUGUAUGUAAUAAGAUGAAGGUAUAUUGAUGAUCUAUUUGUAUCCUCAUAGGAAUCGCAAAUAUUCAAACCGUUGAGUAUCAGGUAAAACAACUAUUAUUUGCAGAGUUAGCUGCGGAACUUGGCUCCCUCUCAAGGCACCACUUACCGAAGUCGUCGGUAAUGAAAGUUCCCACAAGUAAACAAAAAUACUAGCGUGGUAGUGUCAUAGUAAUAGCUAGGAGCCAACCCAUACGCAACUUCUAGAGCAGAGACGAGGGAAGAAAUGCAGCCCUUAGCCAGAUUCAUAACAUCUAGGCGGAAUUUUCUCGACAAACCCAAGAACCGUCGUGCCUGGCUCUUAAUUGCUUGAUCCAGAGGAUCAGGCUUCGUUAGUAUCGUAAGUAUGCAAGUAUCUAAGUGGUCAACACAGUCAGCUUGUACUUUUGGAUUAAUUGAAGAAAAAAAAUACCAUGAUAAAAGAUUAAAAUUUAGUGUAUGUAAUAAGAUGAAGGUAUAUUCAAUUUUGUUAUAGCAGAUGCAGCGGAACAGAAGAGCAAACAAGAAUAGACAAGAACAAUUUGGAGGAAAUCAGAUUUUAUUAGGGUUGUAAUCGGAAUAGUUUACAGACUAAAAUAAGGUGUGUAUAUAUAUACAACCAAACAGACUAGACCCAAAAUAGACCCAAAACAAGACCCAAAAUAAAACAGAUACGGUAACUAAUAUAUACCGUAAGCUUCGGGGGCGUUGCCCCCGAACUCCCACCGGGGGCAACGCUGCCCCUCGGGUCCCCAGCCGGGGCGUGUCGCCCCUUGGACCCCCGACUCGCUGACCGGACAGCGAGACUCCCGUACAGUUCAGCAGGGAUUGAAGAUCUAAUUCAAGGCAUCUCAACAAAUUUGUAUCCUCAUAGGAAACACAAAUAUUCAAACCGUUGAACAAAAUUGCUUCAUAGGAGUCAAACACAAAAAAGGCAAAGAGAAAAGGAUAAUGGAAGAAACAAAUGCAUGCUAGAAGUUUAUUGCUGUCGCAGUAAUAAAAUUUUUGGGAGUACGUUUUGUGGGGAGAAUCCCAAAUGAAUUCCUCAACUACUCUAGGUAUACCUAUAUGAUGAUUUUUUUGUUUCCUCCGGUUUGAUUAAUUCUUGUAAGAAGUCAUUCCAUGCGUCGAUCGGACCAGGCAAACACCAAUGCACGCAAUCAUUAGUCACUUUCUCAGUUGGCCAGUGACCGUAUUUACUGGGGUGACCAUCUGGUCUCAGCGACAUAGCCUGCGUUACAUCAAAUAAUCGAAACCUUAAACCCCAUUUGCUCCCUUCUUCUUGAGCAAUUCUAAGUUCCUUCAAUUGUAUUUUGUGCAGUUCUGAGUUAUAAUCCGCCAAGACAGUCUCAUUCCUCUUGAAGGGCCUCGUUCUCACACAAUCUCCACCUUGGUCCCAAACCCCACCUUCAAAGUGCGACGGGGCAAUGGUCCUAAGGAUUGUUACACCCUUGAAGUUUGCUAAGCUGAUAACUGCUCUGAAAGCUGUCCUCAAAGCUCUUUCAUAGCUAAAAUUCAUUGUGAACUGAGUAACACUGUCUUGUUUACAGGCCAGGCAGCCAAUGAGGGUGCGAUUUUCAUAGAAAUUGGUUGGCCUGAAGAACCAUUGCCCAGCUGAGAUGAUAAUGUAGUCAUACGCUUGAACUUUUGUUGUCCAGCCAUCAUCAAACUCAUCAAGAUACAGAUUGAAAGGGCGGGUUAUGUCGUUGGGAUCAGUUCUUUCUGACCUUACCAGAUAGGGAGCCCAGAACAUGGAAACGUUGAAGUUGUACUCCCUGUAUACCCAGCGUCUAUUUUCGUCAUUAGCAGUUGAAACAUCCAGAGGAUAAAGAACCUGAAAAUACACGGAUAAAAAUUAUAUAUUCCAUUUGCAGCACAACAUUUUCAUCUUUAUUUCUUAUUUUCCUUUUUGUAGGGAAUAUACGGUGGACUGAUGUUCAAGAACUGCAAAAAAGGGUGGUAAUUUGCCUCGGCCAGUUAACAAUUACUGUCAAUCAUCCCAUAAUUCGUUUUCUCACUCCAUCAUAUCUUCGUUUUUUCUUGCUUUAGGAAGCCAUCAAAUUGAUUUAGGGAGUGGAAACACGGAAUCAGUUGAUCCUUUUUUUUUUUUUUUUUUUUUUGAUACAGUGAGUUUUGUUUUCGUGUAAAUCCUGCGCUGCUAACUUACCCAUUUUGAAGGAAGAUGAAAUAAAAAUAGGAAAUAUUUUGGGUUGGAGCACUAAGUUUUAUGCUAUUGCUCAUAAAAGUUGUGCGCAUCAAAGUUAUAAGCACAUUAAAAGUAUAACUAAUGCAAAUCUUUAGUGAACGACGCAAGUUUUACAACAAAACGGAUUAACUUAAUCUCGUGUGAUGAGGGCAAGCAAAAUUAAAUUCCUCAAAAGGUGGAGCUUUAAAUUUGAUCACAUAUAAGAAAUUAAGCAAAAACAGAAUGCAUGGCAGAGCAUAACCAAUGCAGACUCAUACGGCUGCUAUUCUGUCUUGUCUUACUCAAGGAAGCCUGGACGACCAUUCCUACCACACAAAGAAAUUGUACAGAUUGCAAGGGGAUUUUUAAAACAAAAUAAAAUCAGCACGCAUGGAGUAAUGUGAGCCAAAAUUUUAGAUAAUGCAAAGUAUUUCACUAACAAAUCAAACAUGACUGAGCUAACAUGAUGAAUGUGAAGAUGGACUUUACCCUCGACAAGAGGCACAUCAAUGACAACAUAUGAUUUCUUGCCAGAGAGUCUCCCACGAAGGCGAUAGACUUUCCCCUAACCACUUCCAAAAACUGGUGCGGAUCGAAUAUGGGCAGCUCGCAUCCGUCUGGUUUCCACCUCCAUUUCAAAAAGUUAGUAUCGGGCCUUCCAUAUUUCAUACAAUUCUGAUGAUCGUAAAUUCCAUAACACGUGGAGUUGGUAUAAUACGGUGCCUCUGGGUUGGGAACCCAUUCCCCUGUAAACAGGUCGCAGCUUUCUUUAUCUCCCAAUUUGCUAUGGUCAAUGCCGCCAGCAGGAUUAGGAACUGGAGAUACCCUCUUAGUUUGUUCCGGUGAUCGUUGGAUUGGAAUUCUCGUUCUUCCCUCAUUUUCGUCCCCUUGGCUUGGGCUUGGAGAUGGAGCAGACCGCCUUUCAGAAUUAUUUCUAUCCAAUGUAGUCCGGGCAACUAUCAAGUCACUCUUGAUGGAGCUUGGUGGUUCGCUUGGCUCUGUUUCUGGUGAAUUUGCAGCCUGAGGUUCAUCAUCUUUUUCAGGUCUCCUUAUCGAUUCCCUGAGAGAAUCAGAAGAAGGGACCGCUUGAGGUACAUUCCCAGGAUUAUAUAGUAGUGAAGGAGAAUAUACGCAAAUAAUAGUAGCAACGGAUAAAGCAAUGCUUAAGGCUACAAGAGAGGCUACCUUGGGUGCCUUUCUUCGUUUUUGAUGCGCUGGAAGAUCAAACAUUUGAAGAUUCAUUCAGGAGGCCUGGAAAGAAAUCAAGCAAGAGCCAAUGAGAUCGAGGAAUGGAGUGAUCAGAAUCACAUAUAAUUUUGUGCUGAAGAUCUAAAACAUGAGGAAUGAGGAAUGAAAAUAUGAAAUAUAAGUCGGGGUGAAACAAGAUCGAAUCCUAGUCCAAUACAAUGGCACGAUAAAAUGUUUCUUCUUUGAGUAUGACGAUGGAACAACUCCGCAAAUCCCAUGAACCUCAGCGCAUUGAGUUUCCAGUUUAUAUGCAUGGUAAGAUGCGAAAGUUAGAAAACUGCGCGGUGUAAUUAAUAGAAAGCAGCUUCCGAAUGGUUUGACCAUUUAUAAACUACAACUGGACAAGCUGGAUGCUUUUCGUUUCCAUUCGAUCGAGUAGCUUUCGAGGAAUGGUUGUCAGUUUUUUUUUUUUUUUUUUUUUAAAUGUUUAACGAACAAGUAGCUUUUCAUGCAGAAAAUAAUCCCAAUCACUUCUAAAAUUUUAUGUGGUCCAAGUGUGUGAGAUAGUAGUAAUUAAACGUUCCAAGUGUGUAAUUAGACGUUCCAUAUGAAUGUUUAAUUGUGUUUAGAAAUGUAAAAUAAGUGCCUGUUUGAUAACAUAAAAAAGUGCUGAAACUGAAUUCAUUCAGACAUUCAGAUGUUGUGGGUGUUUGAUAAAUAAAAAUUCACUUGCUGAACUUAUUAAGUGGUGCUGAAUUUAUAUGUAUUUUUUUCAGCACAAGAAUCGUAACUGAAUGCUUAAUUUGAUAAGAGUCAAGAGAUUUACUUCAACUACUUUAUCUUAUCUACCAAAUAUAUUCUUGUUUGUUAAUUACAUUCAAAAUCCUUAUUUAAUUAAACAAUCUAAUAUUUCCUAUUCAAAAUCCUUAUUUAAUUAAACAAAACAACCUGAUAUUCUCUAUUCAAAAUUUUUUUUUAACAAUAAUAUUUUUUUGCAGUAAUUUUCAUCCACAAACAUUUAUAUUUUGAUAUUUUUUUUGUGCAGAUAAAUAUUAUUUAUGUGAUGCAGCUUAUCCACACACACAUGGCUUUAUGACACCAUAUCGAAAUAUUAGAUAUUGGUUGUCUGAUUUUCAAAAUGCUUUUCGUCCAAGAUCAAAAGAAGAACGCUUUAAACCAAGCACAUGCAAGAUUGAGAAAUGUAAUUGAACGUGCUUUUGGAAUAUUAAAAGCUCGUUUUUCCAUUUUCAAAACGAUGAAACCAUACCCUUUUCCCACACACAGAAACAUUGUCAUUGUAUGCAUUGCUCUUCACAAUCAUUAUCAUUUUCAUACCUAACAAUUUUAAGUUAAUUAAAUCAUAGGUUCUAUUUCCUUUUUGGAUUAAAAGAUAGAAGGACAAAAUUGUACAAUUUAGCUUAUUAAACAUUAAGUUAUGAAUAUUUAUCAAACAGUAUAAAUAGAUUCAGCAUUAAGAUUCAGACAUUCAUAUAUCUCUUUUCAGUGCUUAAAAUUCAACAAAUUAAUUAUUUCAGUAUUCAGAAUUCAGAGUUCAGAGUUCAGAAUUCAGAUUCAGUAUUAUCAAACGGAGCCUAAGUCUCUAGUGGUGCGUAUCUUGCCAAUUUUGUGAACAUAGUCAUUAAACUUGCCCCCUGGCCAACCCUCAGUUAUCCCCCCAAAAAGCCCAAGCGACGGUGCAAGGAAUUCAUGUAGUUAACAAUAAUUUAGUACUCCUCCCUGACAAGCGCAACGGAUCUUCUGUCCCAUACCCUGUCUCACAUCCUAUCCCACUCCUUAUAAUUUCGCCAAGUGUCCCUUAAUAAAUCAAACCCUCAAAUAACCCAACUCAGACCAUAGUAAGUUAAUUAAUCGGUUAACCGGGCAAAGAAACAUAAACCCAUUCAAUCUCUAUAACCAAAACUGAUUGAAAUAAAAACAUAAUCUGAAAUUCACGGUUGUUUCAAGAGGAAAAAAACCCUAAAACCCAGGAAAUCUCUGUCCUCUCUUCAUCAUCUUCUCCAUUCAAACAGAAAACUUCACGGAUAAUUCAGCGUCAUGAAUCAGCUUUGACGAAAUAUUCACGGAUAUGGUCCGACAUGCCGAAAAGGGUUUGCACGAAGAUGCAUUGGCCUGAAUUUCAUGGAUAAGGAAUGGGUUACAAGAGGAUCCCCCACUUGAUGCUCUGAACGAGAAGAUUGUGGUAAGUUUGAUUGUUUGUUUUUGGUUUUCACAAAUCCCCUCCUUUCUCCGCUUCCGAAGUUUUGUUUUUGGAUGCAAAGUUAAUUUAGCUUUUGUUGUUUGCGUCAAAGCUCAUCAAAUUACAUGCUCUCAAUGGGCAAUUGGACGAAGCUCACCAUCUGUUCGAUCAAAUGCCUAAAAGGAAGAUGAAUCAAACUGUUUAUAGUUACUGCUAUGUGCCUCUGGCCUUGAAUGAAUAACUUGAGCACAGGUGCUAUCAGGGGGAUCUGCUAAAUCAUCCCAUGGUGACAUAGGUUGAGGACUGUCAACUUCUACAAUCCUUUUUGACCAAGAACUCUGCUGGAAGGAGAUAUUACAAUCAAUUGACGCUAUAAACAAACUUGAUCACGGGUAUGUUUAAGAGUAAUCACACAUAAAGUGGACAUUAUGAAUUAGUUUCCACAAUGUUUUUAAGUUUUGCGGUGCACUUUAUCACUCGAAGAUGAACACAAACUCCCUAAAUUACAAAUGCAUGAUAAAGUAUUUUUACUAUUUCCAUUUUGCAGUUGAAGACGCCAAACAAAAUGAAUUCGUCAAGGUCUUCUUGCAGUUGAUGACGCCAGAGGCACAUAGCAGUAACUGGGUGGGAUAUGCUACGAUUUUUCCUUCCCUGUUUACAGUUAUAAAGGUUUGAUCCCGAAAACAAAAACAUUUUCAUUUCUUGAAUUUGUUCUGUGUUGUCGAAAGUCGUCAGAUUGGUUUUGGAGAAACCAAGAAAAAUUCGUGUUAAUGCAUCUGAGACUAUAGAAGCCUAUAUCAUUCUGUGCAACCUUGAUGGUGGACAAGAAGAGCAGGAGAGGAAAAGGUUCUUGCGUGAAGGAGGAGGAGGAGUGGGGUAAGGCAAAGCCAUCAACUCUCAAGAAUUUGCCGGUUUACAAGCUAAGGGAGGCUCUUGAGGAGGCUUCUGAAGAUGGGUCAUUGGCAAAAUGACAUGAAAUUGAUUCUGAGUCUUUGAAUCAAGAUGGCUGCUUGGGAAGGUCAAGAUCUCUUGCAAGGCUUAAUGCCCAGAAGGAAUUUUUGAGGGCAACUGCUCUUUUGUCUAAUAGGACAUUUUGCACUGAAGAAUCCAUUCCUGAUUUUAGUGAAGCCUUCAAUAAGUUCUUGACUUUGUACCCAAAGUUCCAAUGUUCAGAAACAAUUGACCAAUUGAGACUUGACUUUGUACGGGUUGUUUUCUUAUUUUCAAAUGCUACAGUAUUGGGAUUCAUCUGCAUUUAGCUUAAAGGAAAUUACUGCUAAUUUGAGCAAUCAUGUACUUCAUGGGGGUGCAGAGGAAGGUACUGUGGAGCAUGAUAUUGAAACCAAAAUUAUGGAUUACUUCAACAUUCCUGAGAAUCUUUCUUGUACGUGUUUUUACUUUGGCACAAAUCAAAUACAGCAACUGUAAUCACAGAAACAAAGAAUAUAUGAACUCCUUGCCCUCAAGUAUUAUCUCCAUAUAAUACGCAGAGCAUCGCUGGCAUAGUCCCCACAAAACUUUUAAUUCUGCACAACUGAAAAGGCCAGAGAGUAAAGAAUAUUGAGUUCAUAUGGACCUUGAACUUUCCACUCUAAGAAUCCUCAAACAAGGAACGUUUAGUACUUUUAGUUACCGACACAAGUUUCAGUCAACAUCCACUGGCAUUGGAAAUUAAGACAAUUUGUUGUAUGCAUCAAGAAUCCAGAGCAGCUCAACUAAUAUAUCUCAUCUUCUACAGUUUAGUCAAAAGAACGUUUAUUAACAAAAAUUUAAACAAAAAUAUCAAGAUCAAUUGAAAUAUAAGCACAAAGUAUUAUUCCACUUAAAGGUCUAACUAAUCCAUGAAUGCAAUCCCACAGUUUCGUCCUCCAUUUCUUCAGAAGCAUCUUCAUUCAAUUUUCCCAUUUUCAACAACUUGUUGAUCAGAAUCAUCAUUAUUUUCAAGUUCUUGUGCCUACAAAAACGGACCCAAAGUUAGCAAAUAUAUUGAAUUAUAAUUGUAAAUUAUCAAACUAAUAUAUAUAUGAUUAAAUAAUUAAUCAAGGUUUUUUCUUACUUGGACAAAACUUAUUGAUGCAUGUUGUUGUGCUAUUGAACUUGAAGACAUCAAAUCAUAGCCUUAGUAGAAGUUAGGGUCCAACGUCUGCCAGAAAAAUAAGAAAUAAAAGAUCACACAUACAAACAAAUAGCUAUAAACUUGCAAAACUAUAAUACUAAUGGUUGACAUAAUAUCUACAAAAAGCAUACUAUUCACUUACUUGUAAUAAUUGUGUCAUGUUCUUAGUAUUUUGUCUAUUGCAGAUGUCUUCUAUUGGAAUUCCAAAUUCCUGAUAUAAUUAAAGAGAGACAACCACAAAUCAUGAGUUGGCAAAUCAUUCUCCAUAUCUUUCCAAUCACAAAGGCGUAAAGCAACAUAAAAAAUCUAUACCCCAAAUUAUAUAUGCAAAAUUCUAUUUAACACUUGAAAAAUAUGGAUUGUACAAAUAUAAGGAUGUUGAAAUUCCUAAUUAUGAACCAACAAAUGGAAGCUUUUUUUUGAGUAAUUUAAAUAAUUUUUAAGAAAAAAAUUGGUUGAUCAAGAGAGCAAACCUCAAUAACAGAUAUGUCCUUUCUUUACAAGCCUAUGCACAGCAAACAGAAGGUUGGGCAUAUGAUAGCGUAACAAGAAGCUUCUCCAGGAAAUAAAGACGUGCAAGUUUUGGCACAAUGUCUAGAAUCUGCGUUCAAUGUAAAAACAAAAGCAUAUUAAAAUAAGAGCUGUAUCAUAUUGUUCAUGUACAGAUCCUAAAAAUUUCUCAAACUGGAAUAAGACCAAUACUAUUCCUCCAUCAAUUUCAGCAAAGGAAGAACAUUACGACCCUAUUUGCAUGAAUACAAAUUCCAAGAAAAAAGUUGCCAUUUUUUUUCCUAAACAGCAGGUAGGAAUAAAAAGAAAAAAUGUCACCUUGCAAAGAUCCAGAAAAAAGUGGAGAAGAUCUUGAACAAAACCAACAUAUUCACAUCUCUCUCAAUUCUCUCCUCCCUAGCUGCAACUGAGAGCUUUUGCUAGUACCAAAUAACAGGAUCCCUUUCUAAAAAUUUUUUCUUCCCAAGUCUCCUUUAUCAUUGUUAUCUAACACCCAAAAAUUCCCAUCCCUGUUUACAUCCUGGCUGGACCCUGAUGCCACACCAAACAGCACACGACCCAUGUUCACUUAAGGGCUCACAGUAUGUGUUAGUAGCAAUGAAAGCAUAUUACUCUAGCCCAUGCAAAUUACUAACUACACCACCUGUUGUAUUUCAGUUCUGAUUUCAGCCAUUCAAGUGAAAAACUAGAUGCUCCUUUCUGCUUUUUUACUACGUAUCUUGCCAAAAAAAAAAAAAAUCUUUCAGAGGUAGUUACUGGUUCACACUCAAUUGACAAAAGCUAGUGUAGUUUUUAUGCAAAUGGUAACUAUGGAAACAAUGUACUACUACUUGUUAAACUCCAAAACUAAGGGAUAGGAGAUAUUGAGACUCUAGUCAACCAAAAACUAUUAGUUAUGAAUUAAAGUUCUUUUUUUGAAAAGAAAAAAAAUGUAUGACACAUGAAAAUCCCAUGUUGUCAAGAAUUACUACUGUCGAAAACAAAAUAUCUUGACUAGCGCCUCUGCCUGUUAAAACACAAGCGAAAGCUAAAAAUAACAAAAAACACCCUAACACAUGCCAACCCAUGCUCUGGAGGAAAAGUAUUUCAUGCUUUAAGGUCUCUUUCUACUGCUUCACAUAAGAUCAACAAUUGGACUAGAGGACCCCCCCCACCCAUGGAAUGAAUUGGGAGAUCAAACAGGAACCACAAAAAUCAGCUUAAAGGUCUUGCACUUAGGUCAAUUUUGUAUGUGUUUGCGGGCUUGGCAAAAUCAGCUAGCAUUCAAAUAUCAAUAAUUGCAUGGUUUAUGCAUUGCGUUCAGAUACUCACAAGACAACACAAAACAUGCAUGAGACUUCGGAAGCGGAGAAAGGAGGGGAUUUGUGAAAACCAAAAACAAACAAUCAAACUUACCACAAUCUUCUCGUUCAGAGCAUCAGGUGGGGGAUCCUCUUGUAACCCAUUCCUUAUCCAUGAAAUUCAGGCCAAUGCAUCUUCGGGCAAACCCUUUUCAGCAUGUCGGACCAUAUCCGUGACUCUUUCGUCAAAGCUGAUUCAUGACGCUGAAUUAUCCGUGAAGUUGUCUGUUUGAAUGGAGAAGAUGAUGAAGAGAGGACAGAGAUUUCCUGGGUUUUAGGGUUUUUUUCCUCUUGAAACAACCGUGAAUUUCAGAUUAUGUUUUUAUUUUAAUCAGUUUUGGUUAUAGAGAUUGAAUGGGUUUAAGUUUCUUUGCCCGGUUAACUGAUUAAUUAACUUACUAUGAUCUGAGUUGGGUUAUUUGAGGGUUUGAUUUAUUAAGGGACACUUGGCGAAAUUAUAAGGAGUGGGAUAGGAUGUGAGAUAGGGUAUGGGACAGAAGAUCCGUUGCGCCUGACAAGUCGAUCGACAGAGAAUCUGUGCAGCCUCAAGACAGCAAAUUAACAAUUAGAUUAGUACUCUCUCCCUUUUUUUAUAACUAACGUUUAAGAUUUUGCACACCAAUUAAGAAAAGUUUUUUAUUGUUUAAAUCUAUACACUACUUUCCUUUUGUACCCUCAUUAAUUGUCCAAUUCACUCAUGUUUUCUCUCAUUAGAGUAUUAAAUGGUGCUGUUUUACUAGGUCAAAAGCAAAGAGAGAAGUAAUAAUUACUAGGAGUAGUAAUAAAGAGCCCUGUAUUGGUAAAGAGAGAUAAAAAGAUAAAAUUGUGAAAAAAUAAUUAAUGCUGCAUGGGAAUAAUACAACGACAGAUAAAAGUACUUAAGAGCAAAUUUCUUAAACGUCAGUUAUAAAAAAAGGAAGGGAGUAUUAAUCUCGAUGGUCCAGCCACCUUCUUCUUCUUUUUUCUUCUUUUAUUCUGUGGAAUGGCACAGUUUUCACGGAUGACAACCCAUACAGUAUCUACUUACAAGCUUUAGUUUACGUUUAAUGUUGCAAUUGAUUAAUGCUUAGAAUAUGUGUUAACUUAGUGGAAUGUAACGCGGAUUUAGCAUCUCUCUCACAUGAAAAUUGUGGAUAAGAGUGCAAAACAUUUAUAACAACUCGAAUUUACGCACUAGAGUUGACAAAAAAAAGCUCAAAACCCAACAAUCUGCCCAUUACUUUUAAAGGAUGAAUUAUGGGUUUUAUUAGAUUUGAUAGAAACAACUUACAAUAAAGCAAAUAUGAAUGGUAAAAGUGUUAAAUAAAUUAUGACAAAAAUAAGUUUCAAUCGAUUAGUGGUAUUAAAAGGUAUAAAGUAAACAAAUUUUUUUAGGUAAUCUAUUUAAAUGUACAAUUUAUUAAAUAAAAUUCGCAAUACAAGUAAUAUAAAAUAUUAUUCUAUUUAUGAUAUUUUUCCAAGUAGCUUAAGAAGUGAGUGUUAUGUCUAUGAAAAUAUGUUUAUGUAUGUAAAAAAAAUCUUUUUAUUUGUGUAAAUAUAUAAGAAAGAGUUUAUGUAUCACAAUGUAUUAAUUAGCAUGUUGGAUCAUGAAUUUGAGAUGAUCCAAUAUGCCCCAACCUAAAAUCAAUCCAAUUUAAAAUUGGAUAGAUUGGAUAUAACCCAUUUAGGUGAAAAUCCAAUAUAAAUCCGUCCAAUUAUCAAGUAUAUUACGCACUUCUCUCUACAACACUUUAAAAACAAUAAUAUAUACUCAGCACAGACUCCGAGCCUCGGCCUGGGAAAAAUGGGUUUGCUUGAAAUAGGGUAAAAGAGGCAUUGGGUAACCUGUAAAAGAAAACCAUCAAGACCACAAAAAGAGAGAGAGCUAAAUAGUGGGGGCGUGGGAGUUGAAUCCCCCAAAUAAAUUUAGGUAAACUCUAAGCAACCGAUUUUUCAGAUUCCUCUCUUUUUAACAGCUCUAGGAAAAAAUCAUUCCAUGUAUCGAUUGGUCCAGGCAAGCACCAAUGCACACAAUCAUUAGGCAUUUCCACAGUCUGAGAUGGCCAAUGACCAUAUAUGCUGGGGUGACCGUCUGGUCUCAGCAGCAUAGGUUUUGUUGCAUCGAAUAACCU
rnacentral:lncRNA from 1 species